AACUAAAUUGUUGGAUGUUUUUUUGGAAAAGGAGGAAUUGAGCCUUCGGCCUCUGCAUCAAUCGAUGCAUGCAGCCAUCUCAUCAAAAUAGGCUCAAAACAUAGUCUACAAAGCUCUGAAGCUCAUAAUCAAAACAUAGAUGAAGUUCAUGAAAAGAAAAUUGUCAUAUCCGACGUAGCUAAAAGCAGACUACGAUUCAUAUACACCUCGCCUAUUAUUAGCACGCCAUCCAAACCGGCUAAAGAUAGCCCGUGCGACCAUCUUCCAUCGGUUGCACUCAAUAUCCAUAAGCUCCUUGGAGUCUGCAUAGCUGAGUAUCGAUCACAUACGGAUGCAAGACGUCGCUCUGAAGAUAACCUGCAAAAAGUUGUUGAAGUUCUUGCCAUUAAAAAUCAUGUCAUUCCUGGUAUUUCAUAUAGCCCAAAAUAACACAAAGAUCCCAAUUCUGAUAAGUUUCAAUAUUUUAACGUCCACUCCAUCGAGCCACGUUGUAAAUAACGAGCUAAUAUAUGUAGGUGGGGUAAUAUUAAAAGCUAUAUGAACGGUGCGCCAUAGAAGUUUUACAAGAGGGCAGUCUAGAAAGAGGUGUCUUAUUGUUUCAUUCUGCUCACAAUAACAACAAUUCAACCUGCCUCUCCAUCUUCGUUUUAUUAAGUUAUCUUUGGUUAAUACCACACCUUUGUGUAUAAACCACAUAAAAUUUUCAAUCCUGAGAGGCACUUUGAUAUUUCAAAUAUGUAAUGAUCUGGGGCAUGGUCCAGUGUUUACCAGAUCCGUGUACAUGGACUUUACUCAGAAUACACCAUUCGCAGCUAAAGUCCACCGAACACUAUCUGUCUGGUCAGAUAAUUGUACCUGCAUAAGUCUUCUGACCAGAUGUAAUCAUGCAUUCCAGCGUGCUCCCACUAAAGCUCGCCUGAACUGCAUAUUAAGAGGUACCGAUUGUAGUACCGUGGACACAUAGUCCUCUUUACAUUGUGCAAUAUUAUAAAACAUAGGACAUUGAAGUGCUAAAGGAGUGUCCACAAGCCAAGUAUCUUCACAAAAUCUUGUUGAGGCAACAUCACCAACCACACAUCUGACUCUAAAAAAAGUCACCUUUAUCUUCAUUAACCCUUUCCAUAAAGGUGAGUCACUUGAUCUAGAUGUAACCUAUGCUAAAGUCUUGGAAUGUAAGUAUUUAUUCCUCAAUAUUUGAAUCCACACCCCCUCGGUCUCUGUGGAUAGCCUGUAAAGCCAUUUGCUAAGCAGGCAUCGGUUCUUUACUUCCAAAUUUUCAAUGCCCAAACCCUCCUGGUCUUUUGGUCUACAUAUAAUAUCCCAAUGUGUCAACCUGUAUUUCUUCUUAGCAUCAUCACUUUGUCAGAAGAAACGCGAUCUGUAAAAAUCUAGUCUUUUUCGUACCCCUACUGGUACUUCAAAGAAAGACAAGAGGAACAUGGACAGGCUUGUUAACACUGAGUUUAUUAGUACUAGCCUCCCUUCAUAUGACAUAAGAUUGCCCUUUUAGCAACUUAGUUUUUUCUCAAAUCUAUCUUCAAUACAUUUCCAUUCCUUAUUCGUCAGUCGUCUAUGAUGAAUAGGAAUCCCUAGAUAGCUAAAUAGUAGUGAUCCCAUUUCACAUCCAAAUAGCUACCUGUAAGCAUUUUGCUCCUCUUUUGCCUUCCCAAAGCAGAGAAGUUCGCUUUUGUUGAAAUUAAUUUUCAGCCCCGAAAGCUCUUCAAAUAAGCACAAAAGUAGUUUCAUAUUCCUCGCUUUAGCCAUAUCGUGUUCCAUGGAAAUUAUCGUAUCAUCCGCAUAUUGCAGUAUAGAUACGCCCCCUCUACCAGAUGUGCAAUAAGGCCUCGCACUUGGCCCUUUUCUUUGACCCGAGCAAUGAGUAUUGUCAACAUGUCUGCUACAAUGUUGAACAACACUAGGGACAUGGAAUCAUCCUGCCUUAAUCCCUUGUGUGUUUGAAAAAAAUGACCAAUGUCAUCAUUAACUUUAACCCCCACACUGCCUUUCUGAAUGAAAGUAUCAACCUGAUCUCUCCAUCUUUCAUUGAAUCCUUUCAUACGUAAGGCCUGUUGAAGAAAUGACCAUUUGACUUUAUCAUAUGCUUUCUCAAAAUCCAUUUUAAAGAUAACCCCAUCUAGUUUCUUUGUAUGAAUUUCGUGCAGCGUUUCAUGCAAGACAAUAACACCCUCUAAGAUGUGUCUCCCAGACAUAAACGCCGUCUGUGUUGGUUGGACUACGGAAUGAGCUAUCUUCGUCAACCUAUUCGUGCCAACCUUUCUAAAAAAUUUGAAGCUGACAUUGAGGAAACGUAUUAGUCUGAACUGCUCGAUGCGUACAGCCUCCGCCUUCUUUGGCAACAACGUGAUUGUUCCAAAGUUAAGGUGAAAUAGCUGUAACUGGCCAUUAAAUAAAUCCUGGAACAUAAGCAACAAAUCCCCUUUAAUGACAUGCCAACAUUUUUUAUAAAAUUCCGCUGGAAAACCCGUCCGACCCCGGAGCCUUAUUUUGUUUCAUUUGUGCUAUUGAGUGGUACACCUCCUUCUCGGUAAAUGGGGCUUAUACCACCUCAUUCUCAUCUGAAUUGAGUUGAGGUAUAUCAUGAUUUGUGCUUUCAUCCAAAGAGACCCAAGUCUCCUCUAGUGCACCAAAUAAUUCCUUGUGAUAUUCAGAGAUAUAUAGUUUUAAAUUCUCGUGACCUACUAUUGUUCCUUCAUCUUGCGCAAGUUGGGUUAUUUUUUUUUCUUUCGAUGUUUGCCAUUUGCAAUCAUGUGAAAGAAUUGUGUUAUCGUCCCCAUGAACCAACUUUGUCACCUUAGCUCAAAGUGCCCAUUUCAUCUCCUCUUCUCUCAAUAAUUUUUACAAAUUCUUCUCCACUUCAAUCUUGUUAUUCCUAUCAGUCAGAUUGAGCUGAGCAGACUCAGCUUUCACAUCUAAUUCAUCAAUCAGACAAAAAAUUUGGAUGACAAGUCUUGUUAGACACUCUUGUAGCAUCAUGUGUAGCAUAAGAAUAGAAUCUAGGGUAGACCCACGUCGGCCACUUCAGCCACAUGUAUAGGACGUGGGGUUCCCUCCUAUAUAUAGCUUGUACAUGUAAUCUCGAUCAUCAAGGAAGUUUCACAUUCCAACUUGGUAUCAGUUUUCCCAGGACCCCAUUGCCGAUCCCGACGCCGCAUCCUCCUCCUCUUCCCCUGCUCCCAGCUCCCGCUCUAUGAUACGUCUCCAACGUAUCUAUAAUUUUUGAUGGUUUCAUGCUAUUAUCAUGUCAACUUUGGAUGUUUUGUAUGCAUGAAUAUGCUAUUAUCAUAUCGGCAUGCAUCUCUUUCUUGCGUGGUUCUUGGAUGGUUUCAUGGACGUCUGCUUGGAUCAUUCCACUCGGAAGGAGGAAUACCUCGUAGUGCAGCGACACGGCUGGGUCGAAGACGAGGAACAUGCCCUCGUAAAACGGCUCAAGCUUCUUCGACAGUGGUGGCAGGCGAGGUAGGAAAUAUUAUCAAUUGGAUGGCUGUUUACAAUUACUUUCUUAUCACCUCCUGCCUGCCAUAACUGUUAUAAGGUUUACUGACAUGGUGAGUGGAGUCUCGAAGCAAUAGAUAUUCAUAAAUCUUUCCUUCUCCUGCUCAUCCCUUGCUUGUGGGAAGUGCCAUAUGAAUUUGCAUGCAACCUAUCGUCGCCGGGUUGCAGACAUAAUACUCAUAUUUUGAAUCAUCCUCAAGUAGAAGGAGGCCGUUGCAAUAGUGGAGCAGGGAGGCCCUGUCGUGCCGGAAGAGCGGACGCCGAAAGAUGGGGCUGUCCCGAGCCGUCCAUGGCGGCUCCGAGCGCGGCGCCGGCGCCGCAUAGAAGGAGGACUCAUCGUGAAUCCCAAGGAUGCUGGUGAAUAUGCCAGGGAAGUGCCGCGAGGGAAAGAAGUACGGGAGGAGUAACUUAUGGGCGUCGACAAGGACACGCCAGGAACGGUAGACGCCCCGGAACCUGGUAAGUGCACGACAGGGGAGGCGGCGGAGAAUGUCUAGGAGCACGUCGUAGGGGAAACAGAUGCCAUUGCCAUUGCCAUCGCCAUGGCCAUCCAUCAUGCUGGCCGGCAAGGGUGUAGAUCGACCAUCGGACAAGGCGCCGAACGAGGGGUAGACGGAGGGCAAGGAAGAGUACAUCAUAGGUGGUGAUCGACCGAUCGGAUCUGUAUUCUGUAUAAACAGUGCUGCCAGCUAGGUAGAUUGUCUGUCCAUCCGUGGUGGAGUCUAUCUAUAUAGAAUCUUUCCUUAGUACCGUACGUCAUUAAAAUUGUCCCGAAGUCGUCAUAAAUUUCAUAAAUUACCCACCAAUUCCAUUUGUAAGUCAAAAAAGAUUCAGUUUUUGGAUUUCAAAAAUCAUCGCUUCGUUUUAUGUUCUCAACAGAUUGAUAUAUUGAAUGACCAUCAACAUGGGACUAGCGCGUUGGCCAAAGCCUCAACCCUCACACUAGAGGACAGGGCACCCCUGUUUAGUAUUUUUUUCACUUUCUUAUUCCUGUUUUGCUUUUUUCCUUCUCUAAAUUAAUUCCAGAUUUCAAAAGAACAAAAAAGUUAAAAGUUGCCAGUUUCAAAAAAGUAGGAAAAUGGUAAACAGUUUGUGUAUUUAAAAAAGAUUCGAAAAGUCAUAAAAUGUUCUAUGAGUUCAAAAAUUACUCACAUAUUAUAAAACAAAUCAUGAUUUCAAAUAAAUUGUCAUGAAAUAAAAAAUGUUCAUGAUUUUUUAAAAUGAUCCGAUAUUCAAAGUAUAUUCAGGAAUUUGAAAAACAUGUUAUCAACGUUUAGAAAAUGUUCGUAAAAAUUAAAACACAUCUGUAAAUAAUGAACAAAACUAACUGUCGCUUACAUAAAGGUUUUAUUAAAAAAUCACUAGAGGUCGUUUUAUGAUUUUAUUUAGUCCCUCGGCGUCAGGUACAAAAAGGUGUCCGUGUUUUGCAGUUUGCUCAGCCACAACUUUUUUUAUUGUGACGCCUUGACAAAUCAAGUCUAGAUGAGCAUUGUAUUUUCAGUUUUUGAAAUUACAUUUUAAAAAUGCCUUAUCUCAUCAUGCAAUCACUCAGAUAUACUUUGUGAAAUAACAUUUCAAAAGUCCUUAUGUCAUAUUUGCAUUGGAUUCAUAUUUCUUUAUAUCUAUCACACCUGCAUAACCUGAUAGGUUUUCUUCCGUUGCAGCGCAUUGACAUUUUUGCUAGUUGUAAUGAAUUAACUCUGAGCCGGAGCCGUACGUACGUGUCAAGUCAAAAUAAUCUUCUAGGCUCGUUUUCAGGCUGUACGUACGUACAUGCAUGGAAGGUAUAAUAUCCUAGUGCAUGUGACCAUGGCACUUGACUUGAGCAGUUCAGUUACGUUCUACAACACCUUGAGAAUUAUGAGUUUCUUCCUCUGGGUUGAACCAUUUGCUCAUUGCUCCUACAAAGUGUUUAGGCAGUACUGCAGUUUGUACAAUAUAUAAUGUUUCCAUUAGGUUUACGAGACUGCUCUACACCGACGCGUCGGUCAAAACUUUCGGCCGGCCGCACACGGGCUGUCCGAUCCACCAGAUUAGAUCUGGUUUGACUGUCAGAUCUGUACCAAAUGAUGGAUGUCACACACACCGCCAUGGUCUGGCCGUCGUAAGCAACUAGUUGGCGGGCGCUUCUUUGGGAGCCUCCCAACGACCACUCCCAUGUGUUGUCACUUGGCGCGUUCUCAUCCGUCGCCACGUGUUAUGCUCUUCUUUGAUUUUCUUUAUUUUUCCGCAUGCGUUUUCAACUUUUUAGAUCAGUUUUGUUCCGACUCUUUUCGGUGUUCCGAUUUUCCACCUAUCUUUCUUAGCUUUUAGAUGAGUUUUUUUCUUAAAAAAGAAUUUGCAUGAAAAAACACAUUUUUACUUUCUGGAAAAGCAUGAUUGUUCUUUCAUGAGAGACACGUAUUUGCUUCCACGAGAGGCACAGUUGUGUCUCCCGGAAAUUAAAAAAAAUGCAUUUUUUAUAAGAGACACGGUUUUGCUUCUGCGAGAAGCACAUGUUUGCUUCCGCAAAAGACAUGACCGUGCCGUUUGAAAAUGAAAAGAAAAAACGUGUUCUUUUUUCCUUCAGCGAGAGGCAUUGGUUUUUCCGUCCUUUUUUUAGAAAGAAAGUUCGUCAAACCUAUUAAUAUUGAUAAGAUCUUGUUUUGAAGAUCUCAUCGCGAGGGAUCCAACGACGAAAAUGGUUGAGGAUUUGGACGUAAGGUUCAAGAGAUAAAACAUUUUGAAUAUAUGUACCAACUAAAAAAAAACGAAAAAACUCCCAGUUUACGACAAGUGACACACAUGCAGUGUCUCACGUGUCGCAACCUCGGGAGUGGGAGCGAUCUUUAAAAUGUGUACUUCUCAAUUAAUGAUUUCGUUGGCCGCCUCUUUCUUUCGCGUUUCCUAUUCAGCGUGUAGGCCGCGCGUGUACCCCGGUUUAUGGUUGGCGUACAUGUGGGCUAACCCAACUCAGGCAUGUCCGGUUUUGGAAAGGUUCUACUUUAUUUUUCUUUUUCUUUCCAAAUAUUGAGAACAUUUUCUGAAAUCCGGAUUUUUGUUCAAAUCAGUAAACAAUUUUAGAAAUUUGCGUUUUGUUUUUUCAAAUUGGGUUGAACUUUCUUUAAUUCAAAUUUGUUCAUUAAAUUCAAUAAAUAUUCAUAUUUUGUAUAAUUGCAAGCAAAUUUAAAUUUUAUGAACUGUUUGAAGAAUUGUGUAUAUUUACGUAUUUAUGAACAUUUUAAAAAAUCGUGAGCAUUUUUUGAACCCUUGUAAAUAUUUUCAAAUCUUGAACAUUUUUUCAAAUUAUGUACUUUGAAAAAUAUGUAAUAUUCUUUAGAAAUUUGUGAACAUUGUUUCAAACCGUGCACAUUUUACCGAAUUUCAUGAAUAUUUGUUUAAUAUUCUGAAUUUGUUUUUGACCGGCUACUGUAGGGAAUCAUCCCAUAGCCUUUUCUUUUAUUUCCAUAAAAAGAGGUUGUAUGUACAAGAGAGGAAAAGAAUGUACGAAAGAAUACAUAUGUUCAUGAACAUUUUUUUGAAAAAUUGUGAACAUUAUUUUUGAAUCUGUGAUCAUUUAUCAUUUCUAGAACACUUUUUCAGAUCAUGAUUUUUUUUUUAAAUAAUUAUUAACUUUUUUGAAAUCCUGAAUUGUUGACAUGAGGGCUCGUGCGGGAGCCCGGGGUACGCGCUGGGACGAUACCCAGCGGCAGCGCUCUGGUCGCCAUCUCUUCCCCCACGUACUCCCAGUCCCACCUCUCCGCCGCCGUCAAACUCCACGCCUCCCUGCCUCGCCGCCGCGAACCGGGAGGGAGGUCGCGGGUGGUGGGGCGCACGCGCACCUCGACGACGACCCGGACCGAAGAGUACUCCUCCGUUGACUCCUGCUUCGACGCUGGCCAGGUCCCCUCUGAUCGUAUUAUGAAUUAUGAUUGACUGGUUCAAGAGAGAAAUUACGGAGCAGUUUUUGCAUGCCCGUGUGCAUCAUUUUUCCAAGAAAAUGAUGCUGGUGCGAGUGCUGAAGAACUGCCAAUUCUAUUUAUCUUCACCCUUUAAGGAAUAAUGGAAAUUUCCGAUUUUUCUUUUAAUAUUUUGUUGACAUGACACAUGAUGGUGUCUGAUUGCUUUCGCCCGAGUGUCCAAACUAGCCCACUCCUUGUCUUCAAAGCAGAAUUGAAAAGUCUCUGGUCCAAGCUAAUAAUGGCCGAAUCUUGGAUAGAAAUUCCAACCCCAGCCUGUCAUUGUUGACUGUUCCAAUCAACAAAUUGUAGCUACAACUUGAGUACAGGAAAAUCAUGCAUGGCAAGACGAUACUCUCCUAUAUUGCAGUUGGGGAGUGCGCUUGUAGUGGAACUGGAAUAAAAGACAAGUUGCUCUGUUUCAGUUCCAUCUACCAUUUCCGGCCAACAUGAUUAAGCUUGCAUUCCUCGUCCGAGAAGCUGCACUACUGCUUUGUCUAUUGAUCUCCCAAGCAACAUCCACUUCCCAUGGCCAAGCGAGUGUGUCAGGAGCCUGCAUCAGCAGCGAGCGAGACGCACUUCUGUCCUUCAAGGCAAGCCUCCUGGACCCUGCUGGCAUUCUCUCGUCAUGGCAGGGUGAGGAUUGUUGCCAAUGGAAGGGAGUCCGCUGCAGCAGCAGAACGGGCCAUCUCAUCAAGCUCAACCUCCGCAACGUCGACAUGGUCCACUACAUGGACUACUACAUGUACGACUACAGCUACCCGAACAUGAGCAGAUCAUUGAGCUUGUCGGCGGGGGAGAUGAGCUCUUCUUUGGCCACUUUACAACACCUGAGGUAUCUUGAUCUGAGCUGGAAUGACUUCAACGGCACAAGCAUCCCUGUCUUCCUGGCUUCUCUAAAGAACCUAAGGUAUCUCGACCUCUCCUCGGCAGGAUUCGGUGGCAGAAUACCUUCCCAACUUGGCAAUCUCUCAAAGUUGCAAUAUCUUGAUCUCUACUACUACAGGAAACGGUGUUGCGAGGAAGGCGGGGAUGUCUAGCGGGGCGACUCGCCGGGCUCCCUCCCCGGCGCCUAGAGGGGUGAUCGGACUACCGGCGCCUCGCCUCCAGGGAUCUGAGUCCGACGUUGAGAUCCAGGAGAUCUCCCCUCGGGCGCUUACUGCAGGGGGUGGGGUGGACCUCUGCUCUGCCGGCGGCGAGUAUGGCCAGUUCUGUGGUGGGUCUCGGAAAGCGGAUCCCCAUCGCCGGUGGGAGGUCCUCUUCCGGGAUUCGGCCGCGAAUUCGCAGGAAGACAGGCCAGGGUUUAUGUUUCUUCACUUACAAUCUAUGUGGGCUACCAUUAGAGAUGAAGAAGGUGACAUUCUGGUGGGGAGAUAUCUCCAAAAGGAUGAAUUCCCCAAGGCGGGACAGAUCCUGCUCAUAGAUGGUUAUCGUUUGAUAGUGCUGGAGCAGUCGACGUUAGGGACCCAGAACAAGGCUCCGGUAAGUGUUCCUUCGCGUCCUAGUCGUUUCGGUGGUAGGUUUUGGGUUCUUGCUAAUCAGGAAGAAGAGACGGAUGAGGAGCUGGGGAAGAUGACAUGCUGGUGGAGGUGUUCCCGUGCACUCCGACCACGGUGGAGCCGGUGUCCCCGUGUACUCCUUCUCCGAACACGGCGAUGCUGCAGGAGUGCAAGGUCCGGCGAGAUCCUAUUCUUGCGAGGAAAAAGAUGGAGGCGUCUUCUCGGAAACCAUGGAGUGGACCGAUUCCAAAGGUAAACCGACGGCCUAUCUCUCUUCUUGAAUUUUUUCAAGCCAGACUGGAUCAAAGGAUCGAAGAACAAAUCGACGGCGCCUUCCGUUCUUGAGCCGGCAAGGUCGCCAGAGAUUGCGGAGGGCACUAGGAAUUCCAGGGAGUUGGUUUCGGUGUCCCUGCGGGGUUCCAGGGACAAUUUUUUGAAUGCUGCGAUCACGGCCGUUGGGCAUGAAGUGCUAGCGAGUUCCGUGGGCUUUCCUAUGCCUAAGACUGGGUAUAAGGCCCAGGAUCUAUUACGGGUACAGCCGCAAUCCGACCUGGACUGCAUAUCUCUUGGGUAUAUGGCCCAGGAAAUGCCAGUACGGUUUGAUGGUUCUUCGCCUGCAGCCACGUCUGUUGUCGGUCCAGCGUUGCAUCCUCAAUCGACAGGAGCGAGUCCACAACAACUUAGGGUUUCUCCUAAUCGCGGCUCCCCAAGGCUAGGCGCGGGGAGGGCGGCCAGGGUACCACCUCUUACUGCUGCGGCGUCGCUAGCUAUGGCAGGGCGUGGCUCCAAGCAGCCUGCUAAUAGCCGACCGCUAGGGCAGGUCUCGGGCCAGGGGAACCCCCCUGUCGCUAAGAGCUCGACACCUGUGCAGGCCGGGUCCUCCCAGGCUCCUGCACAUGCUGGUAAGUCUACCAGUGGUGCAUCCGGGCAGGCUAAGGAUUCCACCCAGGCGAACCGCUCUCAUCGUGGACGCUGGGGUGAUGAAGGUGGUAACGGAUAUAGUGACGACCACUUUCGUGGGGGUUCAUCCUCGGGUGGUGGUCGAGGGUUUCCUUGGCAUAACAAUGGUUUUAAUGCACCUCCGGGUCAGUUUGUCCCGGGGCCUUCCGGACCUGCAUAUCCGAAGAGAGGAGGUUUUAGACAAAAUUGGAUUGGAAGAGGAGGCGGGAGGAAGCCUAGACCUCCUGUCCCUACCCCUGACCAGCCUGCUGAGCUCAAUGAUAAUGUCGUCGUGUCUAUGGCGGAAACAACUAAGGAGGUAGCUGCUCCGCCUCCGGCUGAUCAGACAUUGGCGAGUGCCAAGGGAGACGGUGUCGAGAGGCCUUCCAAGUGGGCUCGAAAGAAAGAGAAAAUGACGUGUUUUCGGUGUAGUGAGACUGGGCAUUUUGUCUCUGAGUGUAAGGCUGAGCUUUGCGUCUAUUGCUUCAAACCUACACAUGGUGCUGAUAAGUGUCCACUUACGAUUGGGCCUAUGCCAGUCAUGACUAUCUAUGGUGUUUCUAGCCAAGAUUUGAUUUUUUUGAGUCACCACCCGCUAAGGCUAAUGUUCAUGCUCCUGAGGCUGGACUCACGGGCACAGUGACGGUGACUCGGGGGGUGUUGACUGUGGAGCAGAUAGUGCAGCAACUUAAGGAGUUGGUCUCCUCUACCUUCAGAUGGGAACCUGUUUCGAUAGUUGAUAAUGUUUUCAAGGUCAUUUUCCCUACCAAAGAGGAUCUAGCUAGAUUGCUUAAGUUCGGGAUGUGCAGGGUUGCUAGCACGAGUAUUGUCCUUGGGUUCGAUGCCUGGAAGUGUGAAGAGCCUAAGGGGAGGCCUCUACCCCAGAUUUGGGUGCACUUUUCAGGAGCUCCUUCUAGAGCAACUAAUGAUUUUCACGUUGCAUGGAGUUUGGGAUCGCUCAUUGGUAAAACUGAGGAGGUGGACAUGGUCUAUACUAGGGCCAAAGGAGUUGCGUGGCUGUUGGUUAGUGUUGUUGAUAUUGAGCUUGUUCCAGAUGAGGUUAUUUGGACCUUUGAGGGGUUGCGGUAUACUCUUCAGCUGGAAAUCGAAAGUCCUACACUGUUUGAUGGACCAGAUACAGAUAAAGAUACUCCAAUGGCUGAUGGUGAUGAUGCGAGUGGCUCCAAAGAUAAUGCGGAGGGGUCCAAAGAUACAGGUCUAACCGACUCGCCUAAUCAGAUUACUAGUUCGCAACAAAAUCAGUCCAAUCAUACCUCAGGCAAUGGCCCAAACAGUUUGCUCGCGGCUUUGCACCAGGAUUUGCGUUUUGGUCUUUUGAACCCGCGUCCGCGCCGGCAAAGUUUGGUUCUCAGUCGGGAUGCAAUAAGAGUGUAGCUCAGCUUAUGAUGCCGCGAUUUUUGGGAAAGAAUCCUCGGUGUUUCAAAGAAAGCAUGCAGUCUAGAUCGAUGUUGCAACCUCUCUCUCUCGGGGAGUUUCUGCCCGGAGCAAGGGCAGCGAACUCUAAGAUAGUUUCGGCUGUUGUACCAUCAGAGGUACAGCCAGAGUCCAACAUUUGCUUGGGAGGAGCAUCAGCGCCUGGACUGGGUCUUCGCGAAACUACUGACUCGGUCUUGCAGAAUUCGUGUUUGCAGGGGGGUGCUGGCGAGGCCCAGAUGCUGUGCAUGCAGGCCGCGGCAGAUACUAAGGACGACAGUAGUUACGCUAGGGCCGAACCUACCGCGCCAGCUACUGCAAGUCUGCCUGUUUCAGCGGUUGCUGUGGCUGCUUGUGGUGGCGCGCUGGACUUUGCCGCAGAUGCCCAGUUGGGAUGUAUCCCUCGGGCUGUUCAGCCAGUUGAAGCUCGGGUACAGCAAGGCGCCUAACUGACGCAGCCAUGCUCGCCAUCCAGGAGGCUGCUACAGUUGGGGGUGGUCGCGGUGCUCUCUUGUCUGCUCCAGUGGAUGUAGAGGCAGCGAAUGUCGGAGCGACAGCCAGCGCAGGAGACGACCAGAUGGGUGUUCAACUUUGUGUUGUUCUUCCACAUGACAAUUCUGAGGUGGUUGCCGUUUCUAUGGAGGAUCCAGCUGGUUUGGUCAUGGCGGGUACGGAAUCACCUACUGCUGUUGCACCAGAGUCUGGACUAAUCUCGGUUGAUGAUGUCAUAGCAUUUGGAGGUGUUCCCAAUCCGAUGGGUCCGGAUAGACGGGCUAGUCAACGGGUACAGUCUCAGCCAGAUGUGGAUGACCUGCAAAUUGGACGGGCGAUGCGUAUGGCCAAAAUGAGGGAGGUUCAGAAUUCCACAGGUAUGAAUUUUAAUACUGAACAUUCAAUUCUUCAUUUUACUCCGCAAGAGAUUUUAGAUAAGGCUACGACAGUGGGGGUGACUUUGGGUGAGACUAGACAACAAGUUUCAAAAUCUAUCAAUGACUUAUUAGACUUAGAAGUUGAUAGGGCAUUGGAUAUUAUUCGUAACGUAGCGGUGGUUCGACCUAUGAAUGAUAAGGACAUAUCUGAUAUGGGGGGUUUGAACCUAUUGUGUCAAAAUUUAGCUCCUGACGACGAGAUUAAACACUCACAAGUAGCUUCCGAUGCUUCGAACAUUGCUACCACUCAUCUUAAUGAUAUGGCUAAGGAUACUCAUGGUUAUAUGGACCAGGAGUAUGCUUUGGAGAAGCCAAAGCGCAAUUCGAAAUGUAGAGUUUAUCCAGUUUCUGCUAUUCGAAGGAGUGCUAGAUUUAGGACUGCUAAAAAAUUCUAUGAUGAAAUAUGAAAGGACUUUUUUGGAAUAGCCGAGGUCUGGGAGAGUUGGCUAAAAUUAGGUUCCUUGCAGAAUCAACGUUGCAACAUAGUCUUGACUUCAUCGCGUUGAUGGAGACGGGGCGGGAAAAUUUCACACCGCAGUUUCUUAACUCCCUUUCCGGAGGAGUUGAUUUUGAAUGGCAUUGUCUCCCUCCAAGAGGAAGAUCCGGAGGGAUCUUACUUGGGGUACGCUGCAAUACACUUCAAGUGCGAGAAGUAAUUUUAGGAGACUUCACGGUAAAAUUUAGAAUUAGAAACAAGGAAGAUGGGUUUCAGUGGGCUCUAGUAGCGGUAUAUGGUGCCGCUCAACCGGAAUACAAACCAGCUUUUUGGCUGAUCUGGUUAGAAUUUGCGAUGAAAAUCUACCAUUGGUGGUGGGUGGUGAUUUCAAUAUCAUGAGGCGAGCUGAUGAGAAAAGCAAUGAUAACUUCGACGGUAGAUGGCCCUUUAUGUUUAAUACGAUUAUAGAGAGUCUGAAUCUACGGGAGAUUGAACUCUCCGGUAGGAAAUAUACUUGGGCCAACUCUCUACAUAACCAGACUUUUGAAAAAUUGGAUAGAGUACUUACUAGUGUUGACUGGGAGCAGAAGUUCCCGUUAGUCACAGUUAGUGCUUUGCAGAGGGCUAUAUCGGAUCAUACUCCCUUAUUGUUAGAUUCUGGCAAUGCUACUCACAAAGGAAAAAGAGAUGCCUUCUCUUUUGAGGCCAGUUGGUUUAACCGAGAGGGACUUUUAGACAUUAUUGCUAGAGAAUGGAGCAAACAUACGGAGGGGAAAUCUAGUAUAGAUAUCUGGCAAAGCAAAAUCCGACACCUUAGACAAUUCUUGAGAGGUUGGGCUAAGAAUGUGUCUGGACAGUACAAAGAUGAGCAAGACCAACUGCUCCACUUUAUAGAUACCUUGGAUCGUAAGGCCGAGACCACCAUGCUAGAUGAGCAUGAAAGGUCGUCUAAAUAUGAGGCCGAACAGCGGGUGCGUGUUCUCCUUAGGGAAGAGGAAAUGAAAUGGGCUGUCAGAGCCAAGGUCAGGGCAAUUGUCCAGGGGGACAACAACACAAAGUUUUUCCACUUGAUUGCAAAUGGCAAACAUAGGAAAAAGAAAAUCUUACAACUGGAGCAAGAUGAGGGUACCAUAGUAGGCCAUGAGAACCUGAAACUUUAUAUCACAAAUUACUAUAAACGGUUGUUUGGUGCUUCAGAACAUAGUUUUGUAUCUAUGGACGAGUAUCAGACUGCGGACAUUCCUCAAGUUGGACAAGCCGACAAUGAGAGUCUAUCCGCACCAUUUCUAGAGAAAGAGGUGUUACAGGCAAUUGAGGGUAUGAAAAAUGGUAAAGCUCCUGGUCUAGACGGGUUUCCAGCAGAGUUUUAUAAACGUUGUUGGCAUAUCAUUAAGGCGGAUCUUAUGCAUAUGUUCCAUGAUCUGUUUUCUAGUCAUCUUCAACUCUUUCAUCUCAAUUUUGGUACAAUUACGCUAUUACCGAAGAAAGAGGGGGCCUCCAGAAUUGAACAAUUUCGUCCUAUAUGUCUGCUCAAUGUCAACUUUAAAUUUUUCACAAAGGUGGGAACGGAUAGGCUAACUAAGAUGGCACAUUCGGUUGUCCAAUCUUCGCAGACAGCUUUUAUGCCUGGGAGGACUAUUCUUGAAGGGGUGGUCGUUCUACAUGAGAUCCUUCAUGAAUUACACUCUAAGAAACUCAAUGGAGUUUUAUUUAAGGUUGAUUUCGAGAAGGCAUACGACAAAGUUAAAUGGUCUUUCCUGCAACAAACUCUACGUAUGAAAGGGUUUGGUGACAUUUGGCGAAAACAUGUAGAUUGUUUUAUAAAAAAAGGAAGCGUCGGUGUUAAAGUAAAUGAUGACGUUGGUCAUUUCUUUCAGACGCUUAAGGGACUUAGGCAAGGAGACCCUAUGUCACCUAUUUUAUUUAACAUUGUUGCGGAUAUGUUGGCGCUAAUGAUCAGAAGGGCUAAUGACAAAGCCUUAGUAGGGGGACUAGUACCGCAUCUAGUUGAUGGGGGUGUCUCCAUCCUACAAUAUACGGACGAUACGAUCCUUUUCAUGGAACAUGAUCUCAAAAAGGCCAGAAAUCUGAAACUCAUUUUAUGUUUGUUUGAACAGCUAUCUGGGUUGAAGAUUAAUUUUCACAAAAGUGAGCUUUUCUGCUUUGGAGAUGCACAAGCUGAACAACUCACGUAUUUCCAACUGUUCGGCUGUGAGGGUGGUUCAUUGCCGUUCUCAUAUUUAGGCAUCCCCAUCCAUCACCGCAAGUUGACCAUCAAGGAGUGGAGAUGUAUCGAAGAUCGGUUUGAGAAAAAACUAAGUUGCUGGAAGGGCAAGUUAUUAUCCUAUGGAGGAAGAUUAGUUCUUGUCAACUCAGUGUUGACAAGUAUGCCAAUGUUUCUCCUAUCCUUUUUCCAAGUGCCUGUUGGGGUGCGGAAAAGGUUGGAUUUCUAUCGAUCUCGAAUUUUUUUGGCAGAGCGACGAGAUCAAGACUAAAUAUAGGCUUGCUAGAUGGGCCAUUAUUUGUAGAACCAAGGAUCAGGGAGGUUUGGGAAUUGAAAAUCUUGAGGUCAAGAACAAAUGUCUACUUAGCAAAUGGCUAUUCAGACUGUCUGUCGAAUCGCAAGGGAUGUGGGUACAAAUUCUAAAGAACAAGUAUCUACAGCAUAAAACUUUAGCCCAGGUCACUGUGCGACCGGGGGAUUCCCCUUUCUGGAAGGGUCUAAUGAGGACAAAGGCCGCGUUUUUUUAACAGAACUAGAUUCGUCAUUGGAAAUGGUGAAACUACUAGAUUCUGGGAGGAUACUUGGUUAGGAGCUCAACCUUUGGCUUUACAGUAUCCGCAACUAUAUAACAUUGCACAACGAAAACAGACUUUCGUUGCGACAGUGUUACGGCAGGUUCCUCUUAACAUUCAAUAUCGCAGAGCUUUGUUUGGCAAUAGAUGGGUUAGUUGGUUACAUCUAGUCAGAAGACUGAUGAAUAUUUCACUGUCUGAUUGCCCAGACAUUAUUCGUUGGAGGUUGACCACGAAUGGUCUUUUCUCAGUGAAAUCGAUGUACGACCAUGUUAUUGAUACGACGCCUAUUCCAAAGUCCAUGCAUAUUUGGAAGGUCAAGGUUCCCCUUAAGAUAAAAAUCUUCAUGUGGUUUGUUCACAAGGGAGUUGUUUUAACUAAGGAUAACCUGGCUAAAAGACACUGGAAAGGAAAUAAAAGAUGUAGCUUUUGUCAAACGCAUGAGACGAUUAAACACCUCUUUCUGGAUUGUCCUAUGGCCAAAUUAUUAUGGCGUUCACUACAAAUUUCUUUCAACAUUACACCGCCUACUAGCAUUCACAUGUUAUUUGGGACGUGGCUAAACGGGGUUAAUGUACUUUACGCCAAACUAAUUCGAGUUGGUACUUGUGUCAUGUUGUGGGCGAUAUGGAACUGCAGAAAUGAUCUAGUCUUUAACAGAAUGAAUUACAUUAACUUUUUGCAGGUCAUCUUCAGGGCUACCGCCUUGAUCUGCACGUGGUCCUUACUCACUCCUGUGGAAACCAGGAAGCCUUUGGUUACUGGGUGUGUCCGAUGGGAGAUGGUAGCUCAGGAUAUCUUCAACCGAUAUGGAUGGCGGCAUGCUAAUAGGAUUGGACCUUAGUCCAGUUUUCUUUUAUACUCGGUUCUUGGGUGGCCUGAGCGUCAUGUAACUCUUUUUCUUGUUUUUCUGAAUGAUCGGAUCCCUUUAUAUUUUUACAGACUUGUUAGUUAUUAAUAAAAUGGCUGUAUGCAUCUCUCGAUGCAGAGGCCGGGGCAACGCCUCCUUUUCGAAAAAAAGUAGGAAUUAUCAAUAUGGUAGGCCUUACAUAGUGGCUCUUGCAUGGUUGCCACGUCUCUCGUUGCUGAGUCACCUUGACAUGAGUUAUGUGGAUCUUACUUCUGCAAGGGAUUGGUUUCAAAUGGUUAACAUGCUUCCUUCUCUUAAGGUGCUUCACUUGUCCUUCUGUGGACUUAACAGUACCCUGUCUGGUAGUAUACCUCAUUCCAACCUCACACGUCUUGAAGUCCUUGAUAUUUCUGAUAACACCUUCCACACUUCACUGAAGCACGCGUGGUUUUGGAAUCUCACAGACCUUAAAGAACUUCACCUCUCAUAUUCCGGCUUGGAAGGGUCCAUUCCUAGUGAUUUGGCAUACAUGACGUCCCUCCAAGUCAUAGACAUUAGUAGGAACAAUCUCAUGGGUUUGAUACCAAACAAAUUAGAAAAUUUGUGCAAUUUGACAAGGAUGAGUUUCAAUGGUAACAACAUAGGUUCAAGCAUAGGGGAGUUCAUGGGGCGACUGCCAAAGUGCUCAUGGAAUACACUGCAAGAAUUGUCAGUGCAGGGUGCAAAUAUNNNNNNNNNNNNNNNNNNNNNNNNNNNNNNNNNNNNNNNNNNNNNNNNNNNNNNNNNNNNNNNNNNNNNNNNNNNNNNNNNNNNNNNNNNNNNNNNNNNNACAACUUUACUGCUGCACCAAGGCUUUUAACCAUUUUGCCGGAUGUAUGAGAAAGAAAAUAAAUAAAGAAACACAUAAUAUUUUCUUGUCAUGGCAGUUGGUUUGAUAAGCAUUCCGUAAUAGUAAAAGGAAAAUCAAAUCUAUGAGAAAUGUCUACUAUAGAGUGUAAAGAUUAAGUCUGCGAGAAAUAUACCAUGUCACUCAAAGAUUCAUUUCUGAGCCCAGGCUCAUCUGCACUAGCAUUGAAUUCAAAAAUAAAAACAAAAUUAAAAAAUUCCAAAAAAGAAUGGAUGGUAGAUAAUUUGAUGCGUGAGGUUCGUUUUAAAUUUUAAAUCAUAUGGACAUCUUAGCAGCUCUCGGCAAAAAAGACAAACACGGACUCUCUAGAAAAGUUUAUUGACCCGACUUAUCUUUUUUUCUGAGAGCUGCUUACAUGCUCAAAUUAUUCAAAAAAUUGGAGCAGGCCUCACACAUCAAAUUAUCUAUCAAGGAAAAAAAACUGGAAUCUUUUGAAUUCUUUUAGUGUUUGUUUUGAUUUUUCUUCUUACCACAUGAGUCUGGACACCGAAACGCUCCACUCCUAUGUCACAUAACAUUUGGUUGUGUGCAUCUUGUUAUGUAGAAGCGGGUAUUCGCUUACCGCGGUUGUAUCAUCUUGGUGUCGUACAAUGGAACUUUUUUUUCGUUGUACGACGGCUCACAUAUUCCAUUCCUUGCACACCUUGUCAUCCAAUACACCGUGCGGUCGGCGUAAAAACGUNNNNNNNNNNNNNNNNNNNNNNNNNNNNNNNNNNNNNNNNNNNNNNNNNNNNNNNNNNNNNNNNNNNNNNNNNNNNNNNNNNNNNNNNNNNNNNNNNNNNAAGCUUGCCAAAUGUGCAUUUAACAUCACACCGCUGAACUUAUUGUGGCUGAGGUACAGCAUUUUCAAAUUACGCAGUGCUCCAGCUCCUACAGGUAGAGGGCCAGUCAACAUGUUUCUAGAUGCAUCAAGAACACUAAGAUUGGUAAUGUUCCCUAUCCAAAUGGGCAGGUUCCCGAUUAUAUUUGCACCCUGCACUGACAAUUCUUGCAGUGUAUUCCAUGAGCACUUUGGCAGUCGCCCCAUGAACUCCCCUAUGCUUGAACCUAUGUUGUUACCAUUGAAACUCAUCCUUGUCAAAUUGCACAAAUUUUCUAAUUUGUUUGGUAUCAAACCCAUGAGAUUGUUCCUACUAAUGUCUAUGACUUGGAGGGACGUCAUGUAUGCCAAAUCACUAGGAAUGGACCCUUCCAAGCCGGAAUAUGAGAGGUGAAGUUCUUUAAGGUCUGUGAGAUUCCAAAACCACGCGUGCUUCAGUGAAGUGUGGAAGGUGUUAUCAGAAAUAUCAAGGACUUCAAGACGUGUGAGGUUGGAAUGAGGUAUACUACCAGACAGGGUACUGUUAAGUCCACAGAAGGACAAGNNNNNNNNNNNNNNNNNNNNNNNNNNNNNNNNNNNNNNNNNNNNNNNNNNNNNNNNNNNNNNNNNNNNNNNNNNNNNNNNNNNNNNNNNNNNNNNNNNNNUCUGAAGAAGUUUUUAAAUAGCCUAUUCACCCCCCUCUAGGCGUCAUCGAGGUCUUUUCAAUUGGUAUCAGAGCCAGGUCUCUCUUUAAUUAGGUUUCACGACCUAGAGAGUAUCGAUGUCGACUAUUGGAUUAGUGCACAAUGGCAUCUUUGACUUUGAUGGCACAAAUUAUACCCUAUGGAGAAUUCGUAUGCUUCAUCACUUUCGGGUCAUGGGCCCAAAUACUUUACGAAUUGUUCUUGUAGCGAUUGCCGACAAAAAGGAUGAUGCAUCUUCAUCUACUAAUGAAAUGUAUCUUGAUUGUGAGGACUUUCUUGCCAUUCAUCGAACCAUAAGUCCUGAAGUGUUCAAGUCUAUCUCGACUUGCAAUUCAGCUCAUGAAGUUUGGACUAAACUUGAAGAUAUAUAUGGUGGGUCCAGUCUUGAUGAAGACGGUAUUAUGAUGAAGGAGUUGGUGCAUGAGCUCUUCACUCUUUUCGAUCUUAAAGAGUCCACCACUACUCCCAUAUCCGAUUGCUUGCACACCUCAGCAUCUUCAAUCUCACAAGGUAAUGACAUGGUGAGUGAAUAAAUAUAUGUUGAUGAAAAUGGCAUAGCCUCUAUGGACACGAGCAUAUCGAGCACCACACAUAGUGUAAAUUAUUGUGCGGAUAGGUCAUGCAUUUCACCUAAAGAUUCCUUGACAAAUGUCUGUGGUGAUAUGCCUGCUUCCUCGUGUCCUCUUGAUCAAAAUAUCUUGUUUCUCCCUAGUUGCUCUAUGACUAAUCAUUUAGGGGAUAUCAAGAAAUAUGAAGUACUUUUGACUAAUGAAGAAUCUGAUUCACCAAAAGAAUCAUCAUCAACUCCUCCAGUUCACAUGUGCCUCAUGGCAAGAGGUAAUAAUGAGGUAUCAUCUUUCCUGUGCAAUAACGAUGAUAUUUGCGAUGAUAAUGAUGAUGAUGACUUGACUGAAAAUAUCUAUGUGAUCAGUAAAAUUCUUCAUAAAGCUAAAAAUAACGCUCUUCAAAGAUUCCAAGAUGUUCUUGCCUACUUUGAAAAUUGUAAUGAUUCACUUAAUCAUGAACAAGCUAAAAGUGAACAACUUGAACAUAAACUUGAGAAGAGUCAUCAAGCAUGUAGAGACUUAAGAUCUUCAAAAGGAGAGAUUGAAGUUGCUCAUGAUAAACUUAAAAAUGAUUUUGAGGUCCUUCUCCUUGAAUGCAAUAAUGUCAAGGGGGAGCUCAUCAAAACCUCUAAGAUCUAUGAGGAGCUUCAAUCUACUCAUGAGAAGUCUCUAUUUGCUACUUACUCCUAUCAUAUUGUUGAUGAUACUUGUACAUCUAACUCUACCUCAUUUGAAGUAUCAACAUUGAAGGAGAAUGUUGAGCUACGUGCUCAACUUGAUUUACUAACUAGCAAUUAUGGGAAGUUGGAAGAAAACCAUGUAAUGCUCACAAGCUCUCGUGCCGAUCUUCUAACAUCCCAUAAUGUGCAAAAGUUAGCUCAUGAGGCUAUCAUCACCAAGGUAACAUCAAGCGAGCCUCAUGUGGACAAUGGCACUACUUCUAGUCAAAGUACUAUAUUUCCAUGUGCCUAAUUCGUCUACUCACAAUGUUGCUACCUCGUGUGAUGAAUUACUUUCCUUGCCUUGCUGCUCUAACAUUGAAGCUUACACUUCCUCUAGUACUUGCAUUGAUACUAACCGUGCAGAGGAAAUCGAAGAGCUCAAGGCCCAAGUCACUUCUUUGAAGAAAGACUUGGAACAGUGUCAUGACGGGAUGUCCACACUCAACAACGUCCUGUGUGAGCAAACAUCUCCGAAUGACAAAAAUGAUGUUGGAGUAAACUCAAACAAAAACAAGAGGGGCCUAGAACAAGUCAAGAAUUCGGCCAAAAUCAUUUGCUUCAAGUGCAAAGUUAAAGGGCACCAUGUUAGAUCUUGCCCUCUGAAGACGAAGUCUCAAAGUCACAAGCAACAAGGGAAGCGGCCACAAACUCAAUCACAUAUUCAACUACAAGUUGAAGGAAGGCCUCUUCCCAAUAAGACCCAAACCAACACUCCCCAAGGUGAGAAAUCAACUGGGAAGAAAACAAAGGGUAGAUGUUGCUACUUAUGUCGUGAGAAGGGUCACGCCGCUUCGUCUUGCACGAGAGGUAACUUAUCCAACCCAAUCACUAUUGAUGAUACCUAUUCCCUUGGGAAGUAUAAGGGUGGCAAUGUGUUUGCCAAGUUUGUUGGUACUCAAAAUGGUGUCAAGAAAAGAACCAUUUGGGUUGCCAAGCCUAUUGUGAUUAACCUCUUAGGACCCAACGUAGUUGGGGACCAACAAGCUCAAACUUGAUCAAUAGGUGACUAUGGAGGACAUUAGAGACUUGGAUACAUAAUGAAGAAUUAAGGGGUCUUCAUCAUUCAUAUUAUCUCAAGCCAAGUCAUUUGGAUUAUCGAGUUUCUAUCUUAUAUCCAAUGUGCCUCCUUACGGUAACUUAUACUUAAACUGUUUACAUUAUUAGGUGUUUGCCCCUUUGCAUGUUGUGGUUUUGUACCUUGCAUGCGUUUGUAUAUGUUGUGCUUCCAACUUGCUUAUCUUGAGUAAUCGAGUAUGGAUAUGUUGGUUUGCAUAUCAUGUACAUAUGAGUCUUGUAUUGAGCCUUUUGUGUCUUGUUUGUAUUUUUGUUGGCUCUUGUGAGAGGUUAAUGGAUUAUCCCAUUGUGGGGGAGUGAUGUGCUUUGCACACCUCUCAAUCCUAUAAAUGUGUAUACAUGGGAAAUACCACUUAGUUUUGAUAUUUCAAGAUUAUCUAGUUUCUAUGUGGUAUGUCUUACUCAUGAGAAAUUCAAAUUCUAUAUGGUCCAUUAAUUAUCUCUUGUUGGUUUCAAUUUUCCACUUGUUAAUAUUGUUGGUUUAUCACAUUAUGUGGGAUUAAUAUGCUAUGUGCAUAUUACAAACCUAGAAAAUGUGUACAUUUGAGGUAUUGCCACUUAGUGUUGAUAUUGUAAAUUAUCCUGUUCCUAGGUGGCAUGUUAUCUCUACAAGUGUCAUAUGCUUGUGUUUUAUGGGUAAAGAUGAUCUUGGAUAUAUUUGUGAUCUACCAAUGAGUAUCAUUUCAAAAAUACUUCUUGUCGUUGACAAUUGGUAUUCCCAUCAUGUGAUUGGAAUUGAUAAUCAUCUUUACAUUGGAUUUUGUGUUUCGUUUGUCUUUCUUGCCUCUUAUGAAUCUAUUUUUAACAUGUCUAGUGUGGUUAUAGAUAUAGAGAAAGUGAUGAUCCCAUCGUGUGCGUUUUGUAUUCAAAUGCAAAUUCUAUAUAAUGCACGUCCCUUGGGGGAGCUAUCCUAUUCUCUUUAAAACACUCUCUUUAUUCACCCAUCAUAAAAUCAUUUGAUCCCCAUCAAGUGUGUGUUGAUGGGAGGCAAGUCUUGCUCUUUAUGAUGCUUUGUGCCAUCAUGAAAAUUUGUAGAGGGCUUUGUUUGUUGGAACCUAGCUCUCUCUUGGAAACUAGAUACCUCGUGUUUGUUUUCCUUCAAUUGGUUUCUUGUUGCCUUCUAAUUGGCAUGUGUCAAUGGAUAUCUCAUUCCUUGAGGUAUCUUUUAAUUGAUAUCCUUCAAGUGAUAGUUCUUUUUGUUUUAGGAUCUUAUUAUCACUUGAUACCUUGUCUUUUGGUGACUUAUCAACUUUGUGUUGAGUUGAUUCUUAAGAGUCUUGAGCAUGCGUAUCAUAUCUACUAUAUACAACUUCUUUUGCUUGCUUUCCUUCUUUGACCCAAUAUAUAGGGGAAAUUCCACCUUGUCAUAAAUUGGCUAAAGUGUGCAUGAAAUUCAAAUUCAUAUCUAUAUGCACAUAUGUAUGUGGAGUUUGUCCUAUGUAUUGCUGGUUUUCUAACUCUUUGGUCCCAAUGAGUUUGGGCACCAUUUUGUUUGUUUUGUUGUUCCAGGAACAACUGGAGAUGCAUUGGAUGCCGGCUCACCUAUAAGGAAGAUGUUGAGACCAUGUGAUUAUUGGAGCCAAGUUAGGAUGAUCAAAGAACAACCAUCUACUACAUCAAUACAAUGUUGUCUCGGUAACAAGUAUCCACUUCAUGCAUUCUUUUCUUGCAAAGGACCCAACCUGUCUUUUCUUUUCCAGGUUGCAUCAUGGCAUGAAUCUCUUGAUUCGUUCUUGUAGUACUUGUUUGCUUUCUCAAAGCAUCCGAACGAUGAUGUCUUACUACUAGUUGGGAUGUCUUUGAUGUUCGUAUGUUGGAAGUUCAUAUUAUACAAUAAGAAAAUAUUAGGCCAUGUGCUAUGCUUCCAAGCAAAAGAUCUCAUUGAUAUAUUUAUGACUUCCUUUUGGAUAUCUAGUUUGUUCCUUCUUGUAACCAUUUUGUGUGUAUAUCCUUCUUUCUGGACAAAUAUCAUCAUGAUUGUCUUCUACUUAGAAUCUUUUACACAUGAGAGAAGUUACAUCUCUAAUUGAUAUCCUCUUUUCUUUCACGUCCAUCGUUACAUUCCCUUUUUCAGUUUUUGGUGGCUUCGUGAAAGGAUUUGUUUUGAGUGUGUAUCUUAUUUUCCUACAUCUUCAUGCACUCUUUGGCCGUGAAGAUUAUUUUUCCUCAUGCUUGUCUUGAUGAGGGUUUUUCCAUUUUCAAUUAGUAUCCCUCCUCUUGACAAGGUUCUUACUUCCUAUCUUCACAAUGGGUCGUCACAAGCAUUGGUUCUUAUUUUGUUUAUUAGUAAGCUUGUGAACCCAUUUUCUAGUAUGUGUGGGUGGGAAUGAUAUGUCUUGCACUUUGUAUCUCAUUUCAUCAAGACUAUGUUGAUGAGUAAUGCUAAUCCUUAUCUUAGUCUUCUCAAGUGCUUUGCCAUGACUCCUACACAUUACUUUGUUUGAGCCUAUUAUUAAGUUGCUUCUAUUACAUGUUGCUCAAACAUUUGUUUUGUGCAAUUGAUAUGCUUAUUGUCUCAUCUAUCCUCUUGCACUCGUUGUGUGUUUUAUAAAUUCUGGGGGAGCAACGAUCCUAUUUUGUGCACCUGUGUCAAAAUACAAAAAUCUCAUAUUAGUGCACAAAUCAUGGGGAGCUUCUCUAGUUUUUGAUAAAGCACUAUGUUGCCUUUAUCAUAAUAUCUUUUAUUCAUGUGGUUCGAAGGACCAUAUGAUUGUUUGUUCCAUCUGGGAUCUUUUUAUUGCUUGCCUCUAUCUUUGUAUGUCUUUGUGGCAUACGAUUCUUUUUGCAAUUUUUGGGUCCUUAAUAUAGUUUGUUUUUCUCCAACUACUUAUCAUUGUAUUUGUGUAUUUUUCUGUGCUCAUUUGCUGAGAAGUACACACUUUUUGGAGGACCACCUACUAUAUUUGCUUUCUAAACUUUUCGUCCAUUUUGGCAAUCGAUGCCAAUGGGGGAGAAGUUUAGAGAGUUUACUUUGGAUAUGUUUAGAGGGUUUUGCUUUUAUUGCGUAAGCAUUUACAUCUUGCUCACAUGCACUAUUACCUUGUAUGUGUGCACUUGGUUAUGCUUAUUUCCUUAUAUAAACUCUCUUGAAGUGGUUGUCUUCAAUUACCAAAAUGGGGGAGAUUGUUAGAGCAUAUAUCUCCAUAUGUGGUUUUGGUAAUUGAUGACAAUUCCUAUGGACUAAUGGUUGCCUUAAGUUAUAUUUAUAGGAUUUGUCCAUAGGCACUUCUUGAAGUCCAUCUGUUGGGUUCAAGGAGUUUAUAUGUUGACCAAGAUGUUAUUCAAGUUAUUAUCCAAAGAAUGGUCAUAGAAACACUAGGUUGAUCAAGAUCUCAGACAAAGAGUAAAUCAAGAUGAUCAACACACAAAGCGUAUAAGAUGUACCAAGAGGGAUAAGUGAUCCCAUGGUAUGGUAAGCAUUGUCCAUUACGUGUUUGUGUACUAACCCAUGGUCUUUGUGAGACUCCUAUGUGGGGGUUAGGUGUGUUUCCAUUGGGCUUGCGUCAAAAGCAAGAUCUCAUACAACCCAUGAAGGAUGACGUCAAGUGGUGAUCGUCAUCAAGAUUGUGGUGUGCAAGUUCAAGUGGAUCAGCACGAAUAUAUCAUUGAAACUAUUGUCAAUGAUCAUGUGCUAACAAGGACAAGAUCAAGAUAAGCAUUCCUGAGCACUACAUGCUUGAUUCUUGUGGAUGUUCGCAUGAUGGAUAGGACAAGAUCAAGAUAAGAAUUCUUGAGCACUACAUGCUUGAUUCUUGUGGAUGUUCACACAUGGUGGACAAAUGAAGAUAAAUACAUAAGCUAGGCUUUCCGCAUUGUGUAUGGGAAAGCUACUUGAAGACUUCAUCAUGUCUUGCUUUCAACUUGAGCCAAGAAGGAACAACAACAUCAAGCUCAGCUGAAAGGGCUAACUCAAAGGUAUCAGUUCCUUUGACGUUAGUUGUGCGGAGUGAUGAUCAGCGAAUAAAAGUAUGCACUCAAGUAUGGAUCAUCAGUACUCUUUUAUGAUUCUUGAGUCCUUAGGGAUCCCGCACUAUUAAGAGGGGAUCACAGGUUUUGCGAUGAACUUGCUCAAACUACAGCAUCACUUUAUGCUCAGACCACAUCUCCACUGUUUUGUUGUUAUCUGAAAACAGAACCAGUGCCUCGGACAUCCGGCUUUCUCCGGACGUCCGAGGACCGGACGACUGACUAGUUCGGAAAUCCGGAAUAUUAUACCAGAGAAAUCAGAGCCAUAUAACUCGGACUUCCGGCUACCUCCGGACGUCCGAGGCCCGGAUGUCCGGCCAAGUCCCGGAAAUCCGGAAGCCUGCACCAGUAGAAGUUGAGUUCUAUAUCUCGGAAAUCUGGCUCCCUCCGGACGACCGAGUGCCGGACGUCCGACACCCGUCGGAAAUCCGGAACCUACCACCAGUAGAAGUUGAGAUGUAUAACUCGGAUUUCCGGUCCUCUCCGGACGUCCUUAUGCUGAUAAAUUCAAAUAUGUUCAGGCACAUCUACAGGCCUCGGACGACCGACCCCUGUCGGACGUCCGGCCGCUGAUGAAUUCAGAAGAGUUCCAGUCAUGCCUAAAGGUCUCGGACGUCCGACCCUGGUCGGACGUCCGGUCCCUCGCGGCGCCCGGACUUCCGACAACUGUCGGACGUACGGACCCUGUGUGACUUAAAGUGUCCCCAACGGCUCUUUUUCUCUCCACACUAUAAAUACCCCCCUCCCACUUCGUGAGAGGGUUGCCCAACACAGCCUUAUCCUCACAAGAACACAUUUCCACCUCACACACAUUUGCUCACUCCAAAUCUUAGAUCCCAAGAGCAUUUGUGAGCCCCUUUGAGAGUUGUUCCAAUCAAAAGAUAGAUCUUCUCCCUCUCCUUCUCUCAACCCAAGCUAUUUGUGAUUUGAGCAAGUUUUGAGCAUUCCCCGUGAUCUUGUUACUCUUGGAGGUUGGAGACUCCUAGGCGGUAGGAGUUCUUCGGAGAGGAAUCAAUCCGUGUGAUUUCCCCCGGAAAAGUUUGUGAGGGUUUGGAAGCCACCUCAAAGGCUUACCACUAGUGGUUGAGAAACGCCUUCGUGGUGUUAUCUCAAAGGGAGAAUAGGGUGAGCCUUCGUGGCGUUGGUGUGCCUUCGUGGUAAAAUCCACCUCUCUAACGGUGACUAGCUUCCCUCCAAGGAAGUGAACAUCGGGAUACAUCUUUGUUUCAGUGACCUUGGUUAUCCUUAACCCUAACUCCUUACUUGUGGUUUACUUGUGUUAUUUGAGCAUACAUACAUUGCAUAUUGCUUGUGCUCAUUAUAUUGUGUUGGCCAUUUCCUGUACAAGAUUAAUCAUUCAAGCACACCCUCUAUAUCCACACGUUCAUACUUGCAGCCCUUGAUAUAUCGUGUUGAUAUAGUGUGAUCUAGUAUCUUGUGUUGUUCACCUACUUGUCGUGUGAUAUAGCUCAAGUAAGUUUGUGUAACUUACUUGUGCUUGUUAGUAACUGUAUUGUGUCCAUCUUGGUAGAUCGUGUUGUUGAUACACGUUGCAGUGCCUAGUGCAUUUAGGAUUUGUGCUUGACAAGUACCCUCUUAGUUUAUUUCCGCAUUAGGUUCAAGCCAAAUCUGAAGAAGUUUUUAAGUAGCCUAUUCACCCCCCUCUAGGCGUCAUCGAGGUCUUUUCAGUUGUCACAGAAACUACACGUUGUGCUACCUUCCCAAUUUCGUUUAGCCAGGUUGUCCUUUGUUAGAAUCACCUUCUUGUGUACAAAUCACAUGAAGACCUUGAUCUUUAAGGGCACCUUUACUUUCCAAAUAUUUCUAGAUUUUGGGAUAACACUCGUAUCAGUAAGAUCAAGAUACACGGACUUAACUGUGAAUACUCCACUAUUUGUUAACUUCCAACGCACCCUAUCAGGUUCGUUAGAAAGCUGUAUGUCCAUGAGUCUUCUAACUAGGUGAAGCCAAUCAUCCCAUCGAUGUCCUAUUAAUGCUCUUCGGUAAAAUCUAGUCAACAAUUUGACUUAUCGUGGUGCGAGAUAAGUCGACAAGAGACAGAUCGUCAACGUUUUAAAACCGGAGAAGCACAUAAGACAAGAGUCAAGAUUAGAAAGAGAUUGUCAGUAGAUAUCUUGAGGAGUCUAUGUAGAUGCAUGCGUGUAUGUGUUGUGGUUGCACGUGCGUAUUAGGUUAGUCUCUCCCUAAUAAUAAAGAAAAUAAGGUUUUUGGUCGUCCGUCGUGGCAUUUUUACGAAAAAGUCCCUCCGUUUUCAGUUAAUCAACCCGCAGUCCUUUCUUAAGUGGAAAAAAAGUUUCGUUUUUCAAAACAGCCCCUAUCCUCCACCGGUCCAGGGAUGGGGUGGAUCUGCGCCCCCGCCCGGCGCCUCCUCCGCCACGACGUCGGAGACCGUCGCCCCCUGCUGCCGCUGCUNNNNNNNNNNNNNNNNNNNNNNNNNNNNNNNNNNNNNNNNNNNNNNNNNNNNNNNNNNNNNNNNNNNNNNNNNNNNNNNNNNNNNNNNNNNNNNNNNNNNNNNNNNNNNNNNNNNNNNNNNNNNNNNNNNNNNNNNNNNNNNNNUGCUGCCGCUGCUCCGUUUGCUGAUGCGCCUGCGACGCCGGCAGGGGCGGAUCUGGCGAGCGCGGCCUCCAGCGCGCGCACGGACCUAGCCAAGACCUCCUCCAGCCACGCUAGCUGGACCGCGUGUCGCUCCAGCAUCCCCGCCUCCCCCGUCUCUGGCCGACGACGAGCCCGCCCCCUCCUCUCCUGACGCGGCGACGACGACGAGCAGGAAGAGGAGGAGGAGNNNNNNNNNNNNNNNNNNNNNNNNNNNNNNNNNNNNNNNNNNNNNNNNNNNNNNNNNNNNNNNNNNNNNNNNNNNNNNNNNNNNNNNNNNNNNNNNNNNNNNNNNNNNNNNNNNNNNNNNNNNNNNNNNNNNNNNNNNNNNNNNNNNNNNNNNNNNNNNNNNNNNNNNNNNNNNNNNNNNNNNNNNNNNNNNNNNNNNNNNNNNNNNNNNNNNNNNNNNNNNNNNNNNNNNNNNNNNNNNNNNNNNNNNNNNNNNNNNNNNNNNNNNNNNNNNNNNNNNNNNNNNNNNNNNNNNNNNNNNNNNNNNNNNNNNNNNNNNNNNNNNNNNGACCGUCGCCCCUGCUGUCGCUGCUCCGUCUGCUGAUGCGCCCGCGACGCCGGCGGGGGCGGAUCUGGCGAGCGCGGCCUCCAGCGCGCGCACGGACCUGGCCAUCGACUCCGCGACCUCCUCCAGCCACGCUAGCUGGACCGCGUGUCGCUCCAGCAUCCCCGCCUCCCCUGUCUCUGGCCGACGACGAGCCCGCCCCCUCCUCUCCCGACGCGGCGACGGCGACGAGCAGGAAGAGGAGGAGGAGCAGCGGGGUGGGAGUGGGGUGGGCCAUGGCUGUCAGCGGCUGCGGGGAGGAAGGUUUUGGGUGCGCGUAGCAUAGGGAGGGAGGUUGGGAUUAGCUCGAGGGGAGCGGAAGCCGAUCUGCUCUCGGGGAAGUGGCAGUGGCACGGGAGGGCCAUCCCUUGCCGGGCCCGCAGGUCAGCCGGUGUGCGACGGUUGUGGGGCCCGGUGGUCAGGUGGUGGCCAUUGGCCGUGGGCCCCGCGGGUCAGCCGGUGGUCACACAUCUUUUAUUUUGGUUUGUUUGCGCUACGGCGACCCUGCCCUACUAGGACGCCGACGGGCUCACUAAGUACUUCGCCGUCGGCGACUCCCUCGUGAAUUUUUUUCUUCGGGAAUUUUGUUCUACUUUAAAUAAUUUGGGGCUUCACAAAAAUUCCGAAAAUUUAAGAAAGUGGGAAUUUUGAAAUAGAAUGUUUAAUAAAUUAUAAAAUGUUUGUGGAUUCAAAAAUACCCGCGAUUUUGCAGAAAAUGUUUGAAAUUUUGAAAACAAAUAUUCGAGAAAUCAAACAAUGUUCAUGACUUUUUAAAAGUUCAUGAAGUACUUUUUAUAAUGAAAUUGUGCAAAAUUUUGUCAAUUCUAAAAAUGAGCAUGAAUGAAAAAAUAUUCUAAAAGUUCAAAAAAACAAUGAUUUGUGACUUAUAAAAUACUUUUUCAUUUAUAAAAUGUUUGCUGAUUAAAAAAUUAUCAUGCAUUUUUUUGUCCCGUCGCAACGUACAGACCCUUUUGCUAUUAGGUUUAAACAGCGAUCAACGUAGCCGGAGAUUAGGUGGGUAAUAGUUCAGGUGGUUUUCCGAGUACUAGAUGUCCUAGGUCACGUAUGUGUACCAGGCUGUAUUUUUGUCCGUCUACAAGUCGAGUUAGGCCUGUGUGCUGGUAUGAAAGUCCGUCGCAGUGUCCUCCUCGACAUAGUCGGCCGCCUCCAAGUAGAAGAGGCGCGGGCAUACGUGGCCUGACACGUAAGGCUCAUCGCAGUUAUAGCAAAGCCACUGACGACGGCGCUCGAGCUUCUCGGCCGGGGCGAGCCGGCGGAAAGGCCGCGUCUUAGCCGGAGCGUUGCCCGCUGGAGAGGCCGUGGGCGGGUGCCCCGGUGCUGGUGGUGUCGGGGGUGGCAUGCCUGGCUGCCGGGCACCCCGAGCCGGCGACGCCUGCUGCAAGGCCUGCGCGCGACGCUCGAAGGCACAGACGUAGUACAUGGCCGUCUGGAGGUCCCGAGGUCCCCGCAGCUCCACAUCCACGCGGAUAUGAUCCGGUAGACCGCCCACGAAGAGCUCGACGCGUUGGCGAGCCGUCACGCCGGGCGCGUGACACGCCAGGGCCUGGAAUCGGUCGGGCGAAGUCCUGCACCAUGGAGGUGAAGGGUAGACGGCCAAGCUCCGCCAGCGGGCUCCCUUGGAUCGGAGGUCAAAGCGUAGGAGGCAGAGCUCACGGAAACGCUCCCACGGGGGCAUGCCACCCUCGUCCUGCAUGCUCUAGAGCGUAAUACCACGUCUGUGCGGCGCCUCGGAGGUGAUAUGAAGCUAUCCAGGUGCGGUCCGGCCCUAGCGUCCGUUGCCCCCGGAAAAACUAGCCGCAUUGGUUGAGCCAGUUCAGGGGAUCCUCGGUACCGUCGUAGGUUGCGAAGUCCACUUGGCGAAGCAUGGCGGCGGGUGUGUAUGGCCGCCGUGGUGGUACAACUUGUCGGCACGGAGAAGUGGGGUCGGCGCCGGGUAACCGUUGGAGACGACGUAAGGGCCACCGAAGCUGGAGGGCACGCCCUACGACGGGGAUGGUGCCGGGGGUGCUUGGAUGUGAGGCGGUGCCGAGGCCGUAGUGUAGACCGUCUGUGACGUCUCGGUGACCUAGGACAGUAGCGGCGACGACGAAGGGGGAAAACAGAGCUGGUGAAUCGGGACCCCCCUGGCACCGUGGUGGGGGCCGGACCAGAGGUGGCGGUGGCAGCUGCAGCGGCCUGGCGGAGGGUGGCGGGGGCGACAGCAGCAGCGGAGGCUGCACGGCGAGCGCGACUGCGGCCGCCAGGUGCGGCAGCGCGCUGGGCGGCGACGGCCCGUAGGGGCCGACCAGGUAGAGGCGGAUCACCUGCACGGUGGUGGCAAGGUCGCGGAUCGCGCCGGCGGGUGGCGGCGCGGCUGGGUGGGCCGGCGUUGGCAGGGGCAGUGCCGGUCGUGGUGGCCAGCGGCGCGGUGGCGGUGGUCGGCAGUUGUAAGACAUCCUUAGGAGAGGGCGGUGGUGACGACAUGAUGUCUUACAACUGUUUAUAUAAUCUUAUUGCUUAAUUUUAGAGGGUGUCUUACAACUGUUUAUAUAACCUCAAAGCUAAUAGAAAUAAGAUAACUUAGGUUAAGCUCCUAACUAAAUGGGCCCAUUGGGCCUCUUCCGGCUAUAAGUGGCGCCGGUUAUAACAUCUUCAUUGAACUCAAAAGCUACAUACAGAUCAGACCAUGCAUCAGGUAAUCUAAGAAAAAACUAUAUUAGGGGACGAUGGAGUUCACAUUCUUUCCUUCUCCUGGUUCCUUUUCUUUUCCCUUUACAGUGAGAAAGACUUGAGAUUCUUUUCUUGACCCUUGCCUGCUGGUAAAGCUAAAGCUAACGUGUGCUGUGCUGUGUGCAUUAUCACAAUUAAGCAAGGUAGAUGAUCCCUUUCCAUCUCGGUGGAGCAUGGGGUCAUACAUAUAACCUAUGACCAUGCAUGAGUUGGUAUGCGUCCACCAUCUCCUCCAAUUGGCAUACUAGCUACAACUUGAGAGAGAGAAGGUACGGUGAAGACGAACAACAUGGCGCAUGUAGCCGGGUUGCUCGCCUCGGCUGUGGUCUCAGCAGUGGGCAAUAAGCUAGGUUCCGCCAUUGGGGAUGAGGUCACGAUGCUGUGGAGCUUCAAGGACGACCUCAAGGACAUGAAGGACACGUUGGAGUCCAUGGAGGCGGUGCUCAAGGAUGCUGAGAGGCGGUCUGUCAAGGAGGAGUUGGUGCGGUUGUGGCUCAACCGGCUCAAGCACGCUGCCUAUGACAUCUCUUAUAUGCUUGAUGAGUUCCAAGCUAACAGUGAACCAGCCUCCAGAAAGGUAUACAUAUGCCGCCCUUGCCUUACCUCAAUCGGUUUUCAUUAAUUAAUAUUCCUAGUUAGUACAGAGUUUGUUGCUUUCGUCAAAUAAUUUGAUUAUUAAUUAUAUUAUUAUCCAAAAAACCAUGCUUGAUCAGUGGUGGAGGCAGGAUUAGUGAAAUUACGGUCUUGGGGAGGGCCAGUUAGAGAAAGGGGAGUACUAGGCGCCGGCGCGCCGGCGCGAGCGGUAGCGCCGGUCGCAGGCUGACCGCCCGAUCUGCACGGGGGACCGUCAGAUUUUUUCAUGCAACAUUUUUUAUCUCCAUGCAACUAAUCUCGACGCUAUGCAUCAUUUUUCGCAACGGUUGCAACAAAAAAAUUAAUUAUAGCAAAAAAUAUAUCCACAUGAUCGUAGCAAAAAAACGAAGAAGAUGAUGCGUGGUAGCAAAAGUUAAACGACGGUUGUAGCAAAAAUCUACGUGACGUGUAUGCAACUUUUUCAGUGAACGGUUGCAGCAAAAAAUGAUGUCGGUUGUAGCAAAAAAUAACACGGUUGUAGCAAAAGUCAAAACGUCGGUUGUAGCAAAAAUUCAACGAACUCGAGUUGCAACCAAAUGUAUAUGCAACUUUUUUACUGUACAAAUCUAGUAAAUAAAAAACUCUUGUAGCAAAUAUGAACGCUGGUUGCAACAAAUUUACACCAGAAAAAAGUUGCAUGAAAAAACGUUUGUAACAAAAAAAUACACGAUUGCAGCAAUUUUUACGAAAAAAUGCUGCAUACACCUAUCAGUGAGCGCGACCCGCGCGCGACCGGGCGAACGAUUCGGCCGGCGCGCCGGGGGGAAACGUUCCCCUUCGAGAAAUCUGUUGUUCAUGUAGUCAUUAGGAACAAAUCCAUGGUAUUAGGGGUGCCAGGCACCUGCUGGUCCCCGUGGCUCCGCCACUGUGCUUGAUCAUCUGAACGUACUUUCCGAUGCAAGCAACUGGUGCACUAGUUAAUUGCAACGUUUAAAGCUUGAAAUUUGUUGACACCCUUCUAAAAAUUAAAGCCAUGGGUGUACAAGAGGAAUUUAUAGCCUACUUAAAUCUGGUGUACAGAUCCCGGCCAUGAAACUAGGUAUAUAAGAAUAAAAAUGUUAUGAUCCAUACUACGUGCCAAAGGAGGAGACCCUAUAGAAAGGAUUAGUUAUGGACUUAGCCUAAGUUAUAUUAGUUUUUUAGUUUCCAAGUUAUCUUAGUCAGCCGUGAGAUUAUAUAAACCGAUGUAAACAGCUCUUUUGAAAUUAAGCAAUAUAGACAUAUCUCUAUUGCCGGCUCCUAGAGGAGCCAGAACCCUAACCGCGCCGCCGUCUCACACCUCCGCCGCUUCCCUCUCGUACGCGGAGGCGCCCCGCCGUCGGCAGCUGUGUUCCAGCCCUCGCCUCCCUCACUUCAUCCCCUACAACCUCUGCCCUAGAACCGGUAGAACCCUAGCGGUUCCUACCAAUUUGGUAUAUAGAGACUCCAUGCCGAUCAUGUCCUCUUCGUCGGCCGCCACCACCCUUCCGCCCGCCACCACCUUUCCCCUCGUCACCACCGCCCCGCUGCAGGUCAUCUACAAUGCGCCGCUGGGCACGGCGGCUGGCGCUGAGCCGGUUUCCCAUGCCGCCCCGGCCCUUGUCAUCUAUACCCCUCAGGAGGUCACGGGGGCCUGUGCGACCUCGCCACUGCGGUCCAGGGGAUCCGCCAGUAUCUGGCCGGCCCCUACGGACCGCCUCAGGCGGCGCUGCCGACCCCCGACGCCGCCGGCCUGCACCUGCUUCCCUGGCAGCAGCCACCAGCGCCGGGCUCCGCGAUCGCUGGGCCACUUGAGCUGCCGCCACCACCCCGCCUUGGUCGGCCUGGCCGCAUCAGGCGCUUGCGGCCCUGGCCGCCUUGACCGCCCUCUUCCAGCAGACACUGCCGCUGGUCGGACCGCCCUCCACGACACCAGCGGGCGUCCCGAUCCAGCAGGUCCGGUUCCCGUCCUCGCCGUCCCCGCUCCCGGCCUGGAUGGCCCAGUCUGUUCCGCCACCGGUCUACACAAUGGCGUCGGCGCAGCCGACGGCCGCCAUGCAGUACGGGAGGGCUCCAACUCCCCGGGCCCCUAUGUCAGCCGCGACGAGCCUCCGUUCCAUGGGGGACCCCCGGGGGCCACCGACUCGACACCGUUCCCCUCGCUGCUCUACACUGCCGAUCCAUACGGACAUGGGGGUCCUUCUCAAAUGACGCCCCGCUUCGCCAAGAUUGACUUCGCCACCUACGAUGGUACCAAGGACCCUCUCAAUUGGCUCAAUCAGUGUGAGCAGUUCUUCCGGGGACAAUGCACCCUCGCGUCGGACCGCACUUGGCUCGCCCCAUAUCACCUUUGUGGUGCCUCCCAUACGCGGUAUUACGCCCUCGAGCAGGAUGAGGGCGACAUGCCCUCUUGGGAACGCUUCCGCGAGCUCUGCCUCCUUCGGUUUGCCACCCUGAUACAAGGGAGCCGGCUGGCGGAGCUCGGCCGACUGCCCUUCACCUCCACGGUCCAGGAUUUCGCUGACCGGUUCCAGGCUUUGGCGUGACACGCCCCCGACGUGACAGCCCAACAGCGGGUCGAGCUCUUCGUGGGAGGUCUGCCGGAUCACAUCCACGUAGACGUGGAACUUCGGGGGGCCCUGGACCUCCAGACGGCCAUGUACUACGGUCGCGCCUUCGAGCAUUGCGCACAAGCCUUGCAGCAGGUGACGCCGGCUCGGAGUGGCCGGCAGCCGGCCCGGGUCCCCCAGACUCCGGCCGUGUCGGGCCGCCCCCCACGGUCCCCCCUGCGACUACCACGCCAGCCUCGACGUGGCCCUUCCGCCGGCUCUCCACGACCAAGCAGCUCGAGCGUCGUCGCCAGGGGCUGUGCUUUAACAGCGACGAGCCCUACGUGCCGGGCCACGUUUGCCCGCGCCUCUUCUAAUUGGAGGCAGUCGACUACGUCGAGGAGGACACGGCCAUCGCCGAACGGGGCGACUUGGCCGACCCAGCUGUUGUGGAGGACGCACCGGCUCCGGCGACAGCACUCGUGUUCUCCUUCCACGCCCUCGCGGGUAUACGAGCGGAGAAGACUAUGCUCCUGCCAGUGACGAUCCACGGCGAGCAUCUCCUAGCCCUUCUAGAUACGGUCUACACACACAACUUCCUGCCCGAGUUGACCAUGCGCCGCUUGGGCUUUCAGCCGUCGGGCGGGGAGCAGCUGCAGGUCACCGUGGCUAACGGCGACCGUCUCCGCUGUCAUGGGAUUGCACGGGACAUCCCCAUCACCAUCGGCGAUGAAAAAUUCUCCAUCACAUGUGCUGGGAUUGAUUUGGGCUGCUUCGAGUUCAUCCUCGGCAUCGACUUCUGGCAGACUGUGGGUCCCAUUCUCUGCGAUUUGACGCCCUGUCGAUGACCUUCUGGCGACUGGGUCGUCGCGUCCGGUGGGAGGGCGCGGCUGGCACUUCACCAGUGACGCCACAGUCGCAGCUGGCCGCGACUGCGGCCAAGUCCGCGCACUCUCUGUUGGAUCACCUCCUACAGCAGCACAACGACCUCUUUGACGAGCCUCCGGGUCUCCUGCCGGCCCGGGCAUAUGACCACCGCAUCCACCUCAUGCCAGGCAUGACGCCGGUGGUGGUGCGCCCCUACCGCUAUCCCCAGGUGCAAAAGGACGAGCUGGAGCGGAAGUGCGCACUCAUGCUAGCCUGGGCAUCAUCCGGAUCUCCACUUCACAAUAUUCGGCGCCGGUUCUCCUCGUCCACAAGUUGGACGACUCUUGGCGCAUCUGCAUCGACUACCGUGCUCUUAACGCCCUGACACUCAAGGACAAAUUUCUCAUUCCAAUCGUGGACGAGCUCCUGGACGAACUACAUGGGGUGUGCUUCUUCACCAAGCUCGACCUUCGUUCGGGCUACCACCAGGUGCGGAUGCACCCAGAUGAUGUCGCGAAGACAACCUUUCGUACUCAUCACGGCCAAUUCGAGUUCUUAGUGAUGCCUUUUGGUCUCUCCAACGCCCCGGUGACCUUUCAGGCCUUGAUGAACGACGUCCUCUGACCCUACUUACGUCGGUUUGUGCUCUUUUUUCUUCGAUGACAUUCUUAUCUACAGCAUGACCUGGGCGGAACAUCUUCAACACGUCGCCAUCGUCUUCAACGAGCUUUGAGCGCACCACCUUCAUCUUAAGUGCUCGAAGUGCUCGUUCGGGACGACUUCAGUUGCCUACCUCGGCCACGUCAUCUCGACUGAGGGUGUUGCUAUGGACGCCGACAAGGUGGCAGCCGUUGCGGCCUGGCCGACGCCGCACUCCCCGCAGACUCUCCGCGGCUUCCUGGGCCUCGCCGGCUACUACCGGAAAUUUAUUCAAGAGUUCAGCCUCAUCGCAUCCCCGCUCACACGCUUGCUCCGACGCGACGCCUUCACACCCUCUGCAUCAGGUCCGGGCCCUCGUUCGCCCUCUUCGACGACAUCCGCCGGGCCACCACGGAUGCGCCCAACGCGCAGCUCCUUCGGCAGCGCCUUGCUGCCGGUGACUUGGAGGAGCCAUGUGGUUUGGCGGCGGGUCUACUCCUGCAUGGGCGACGGAUCUUCGUGCCGGACCACGGUGACCUCCGUCAUCAGGUGCUGCUGCUCGCCCACUCAGCGGGCCACGAGGGUGUGCAGAAGACCCUCCACCGUCUCUGCACCGACUUCUACAUUCCCGGUGAUCGGGCCCUGGUUCGGGACUGGGUGCGGUCUUGUGCGACAUGCCAACAUAACAAGACGGAGACAUAGCGAUCGGCAGGGCUGCUACAGCCCUUGGAGGUGCCUUCUUAGGCCUGGGCUGAUAUCUCCAUGGACUUCAUCGACGGCCUCCCCAAGGUGGGCGGCAAGUUCGUCAUCCUCACGGUGGUCGAUCGUUUCUCCAAAUACACCCACUUCAUCGCACUUGGCCAUCCUUACACCGCCACCUCUGUUGCCCGGGCCUUCUUCGACGACAUCGUUCGCCUGCACGGGUUUCCCUCUUCGAUCGUUAGCGACCGGGACCCGGUGUUCACACGACAUGUAUGGCGCGAUCUCUUCAGGAUGCUGGGCGUAAAGCUUCGCUUGAGCACGACGUUCCAUCCUCAGACGGACGGCCAAUCUGAGGUGGUCAACAAAGUGAUUGCCAUGUAUUUGUGUUGUGUUACAGGUGAUCGUCCUCAUGCUUGGGUGGACUGGCUUGCGUGGGCGGAGUACUGCUACAACAACUCAUAUCACUCCGCCCUACGCACCACGCCCUUCGAGGUGGUCUAUGGCCGAUCGCCCCCGCCCAUCCCGCCGGUUGAUCCGGAGACGGCUAGGACAGAGGCGGCAGGUGAUCUUCUUCGCACCUGCAACGAAAUGCUUGCCGAGGUGCGCCAAUGCCUCGUUCAGGCCCAACAGUUGGCCAAGCACUACUAUGACAGCCACCACCGUGAGGCAGAGUUCGCGGUAGGCAACUGGGUGUGGAUGCGUCUCCUUCACCGUUCUACACAGUCCCUUGACACGCGCGCAAAGCGCAAGCUGGGACCGCGCUACGCUGGGCCAUUUUCCGUGCUGGAGCGCAUCGGAAAGGUGGCCUACCGCCUUCAGCUUCCGGCGGGUACUCGCAUCCACGACGUCUUCCAUGUGGGGCUCCUGAAGCCUUUCCGUGGGGAGCCACCGGCGGUAACGCCGGCGCUACACCCUACCUCCGACGGGCGCCUCCUUCCCGGGCCAGCAAAGGUGUUGCGGGCUCAAUUACGGCGCGGAGUGUGGUACCUGUUAAUCCAGUGGGAAGGCCUUCCAGAGGAGGAUGCGACUUGGGAGCAGCGUGACGAAUUCAGUUAGCACUAUCCAGACUUUCAGCUCGAGGACGAGCUGUUUGCGCAGGCGGGGAAAUAUGUUAUGAUCGGUACUACGUACCAAAGGAUUAUGGGCUUAACCCAAGUUAUAUUAGUUUUCUUAGUUUCCAAGUUAUCUUAGUCAGCCGUGAGAUUAUAUAAAUCGAUGUAAACAGCUCUUUUAGAAUUAAGCAAUAUAGACAUAUCUCUAUUGUCGGCUCCCAGAGGUGCCGGAACCCUAGCCGCGCCGCCGUCUCACACCUCCGCCUAUUCCCUCUCGUGUGCUAUGGUGCCCCGCCAUCGGCAGCUGCGUUCUAGCCCUCGCCUCCCUCACUUCAUCGCCUACAACCUCCGCCCUAGAACCGGUAGAACCUUAGCGGUUCCUACCAAAAAAAUAGUACUACAAGGGGAGCUAUGUGUUACAUCCGUCGAAAAGAUUUACGUUGGAUUUCUACCAUGCAGCAUGUUGCUACCGGGUAGCUAGAGGGACCAUAAAUACUACAUCUUAGAGCAUCUCCAACAGCCGCGCUUCGCGCCCAGCCUAAAAAAUGUGUUUGCCGCGCGCGCUCCGGCUGGUUUAGCGCGGGGAUAGGCGCUGGCUCCAACAGCCGCGCUAUAAUGCAGCACGCGCGCGCCGCUCCAGCAGCGCCCAAAAAUGCAGCGCGCGCAACACGCACAAACCACAUGUACAUUUCAAAAAAUAGGAGCAAAAAUGAUCAAACAAACAAAAUAAAUCAACAAUAAAUAGUCAUUACAACUGAUCAAACAAAUAGUUUAUCAUUCAGUACAACAAAUAAUGUAAUAAACACAACCAAUAGUUCAUGAACAAUACAAUACAAAUAUGCAAUAAACACAACCAAAUCAUGAUCUUUGUCGUCCAUGCCAUGCCCACCACUCUUCAAUCAGAUCCUUCUGAAGAUCAUUGUGCGUUGCGGGAGGACGAAUGUCAUGAUAGGAGGCAACAAAAUGGGCUACCCUUUCAGCCCUCCGUCGCACUCGCACGGGAUGUCCCAAGAGCUCAUACUGUGAGUAAUCUAAAUCUUGGCCACGCUCAUUCUCGAUGAUCAUGUUGUGCAUGAUCACACAAGCAUGCAUGAUGUACCAAAGCAUUUUUUGAUCCCAAAAUCUAGCCGAUCCUCUCACAAUAACAAAUUGGGCUUGCAAAAUCCCAAAUGCUCUCUCCACAUCUUUUCUAGCAGCAGCCUGAGCAUUGUGGAAAUCAAGAUUUUUCUUACCUUUCGGCUUUUUCAACGGCUUCACAAAGGUUUGCCACUUUGGAUAGAUGCCAUCCGCUAGAUAAUAGCCAUAGUUGUACGUACGGUCAUUUGUUACAAACUGCACCGGUGGCAACUCACCAUCUGCAAUCUUAUUCAUCAGUGGUGACCGGUUGACAACAUUGAUAUCAUUCAAAGAUCCAGGCAUUCCAAAGAAUGCAUGCCAAAUCCAAGUCUCCUGAUCGGCCACCGCUUCAAGGAUUAUAGUGGAACCCUUUUUUGGCCGUGGAAUUGCCCAUGCCAUGCCUUUGGACAAUUCUUCCAACUCUAAUGCAUGCAAUCUAUUGAGCCAAGCAUGCCAGGAAAGCCGCGAGCCUUGUUCAUCGCCAAUAGCCUUGCGACGUCUUCAGCAGUGGGAGAUCUCAAAUACUCCUCGCCAAACACUUGCACAAUUCCCACUGCAAAGCGCUUGACACACAUGAUGGCUUGACUCUCACCCAUAGCCAAGUGAUCAUCAAUUAAAUCAGCCGGGAUACCGUAUGCCAACAUACGCAAUGCGGCUGUCACCUUCAAAAAGGUGCUAUGUCCGAGCUCUCCGGCGGCAUUCCUCCUUUGCUGGAAAAACCGGUCAUGGCUCGCUAGUUUCUCUGCAAUGCGCUUGAACAAGUCUGUGCUCAUCCUAAACCGGCGACGAAAAUAUGACUCCGGGUAUGUGGGAUUCUCCACGAAAUAGUUCUUCAUCAAUCUGUUAUGGGCAUCAAUCAUAUCUCUCCAAAUUUUCUCCCGACCCAUAACCGAACCACCGUGCUUCGGUUUUUUAUUGAUAUGCAUAGCUAUUAUCAUUGCAAGAUCCUCCUCCUAUUCCAUAUCAAAUUCUUCUUCGGAAGAAUCAUACGACAAACUCAUCUACAAUGUUCAAUACUAUACUAUAAAAACUACAAUUCAAAACAUGCACCAAAUUCAUAAGUUUGGAGCAAUACAUACCUUGUAGGCGUUUUGUCGAACACCUUGCAAGCGCGGCGCGGCAGCGAGCGCUCGGGCGCUGUUCCUCGGACGUCGGAGGCACCCGAGGGCCGGCGGGACUAGGAGGGGGUCGGGCGGAAGCGCGGCGGCGCGGGGAGGCCGGGGAAGCGCCUAAACGGUCGCCGGGUGGCGCGGGCGGCGGCCGCAACGGAGACAGGCCGGGGAAGCGCCUGAGUGGUCGCCGGCGGGCGCGGGCGGCGACAGCGGCGCGGGGAUAGGCCGGGGAGCGCCUGAACGGUCGCCGGGGGCGCGAGCGCCGGCGGCGGCGCGGCCAGAAGGGGGUGGCACUGGGGAGCAAGCGCGCGAGAGUGGAGGAGCGAGCGCGGGAGAGUCGCGCGCGCGGGAGCUGGCGCAACAAAUAAGGGGCGCGCGAAUGCGUUUCGGCCAGCGCGCUAAACUGAAAAUGCCGCACGCGCUGGAGCUGCCCGCCGCGUUGCGCGCGCGCUAAAAAUGCCAUUUUUGCCGUGGAGCUCCAGCGCGCGCGCUAAAAAUGCCUUUUUUACGACGCGGCGCUAGUAUAGCGGCUGUUGGAGAUGCACUUAUUAGGGCCGGGUGUAGUUGCUUCCAGGUUUUAUGUUAUAUCAUAAUCACUUGUUGAACUUCCUUGUAGAUGAUUGGGAAGCUGGACUGUUUUGCUAUCGCACCCAAGAUUACCAUGGCUUAUAAGACGAAUAAGAUGAGAUGUCAGCUGAGGAAGAUCAAAGAGGAUCACGAGAGUUUCAAAUUCACACAUGAUAACUCCAGCCUAAUUAGUGCGCACCAGUUUCCUGAUCCACGGGAAACAACAUCAGAUGUGAUUGAAUCCCUCAUCAUAGGGAGAGACAAAGACAUGAUGAAUGUUCUUUCUUUGUUAUCCACAAGCAGCAACAAAGAAGAUAUCACAAUACUUCCUAUCUGUGGGCUUGGAGGCAUAGGAAAGACAACUUUGGCACAACUGGUCUUCAAUGAAUGUUUGACUUGAAAAAAAUAGGGAACUCCAUAAUUACUCAAGUAGAAAAGGGAAGCCAUAAUCUAGAUACAAGGCAGUUAAUAAACCAACAUCUUAAACAUUUACUUCAAGAUAAGAAGACACUAAUUGUUUUAGAUGACCUAUGGGAGACAGAUACCUCCCAACUGAAUCAACUCAAGCUUAUGUUGAAUGGAAGCUCCAAGAUGAGAGUCUUAGUCACAACACGCAGCAUAGACAUAGCAAGAAAAAUUUGUACUGUUGAACCAUACAUGUUAGAUCUCUUGGACAAUGACAUGUGCUGGAGAUUAAUCAGGCAAAAUAGUGGCUUUGAAUCUAGAGCUGAUAAAGCGCAAGUUGAACCAAUUGGACAGACGAUUGCAAAGAAAUGUGGAGGUUUGCCAUUAGCAGCUCAAGCACUUGGAUUCUUGCUAUCUGGAAUGAAUCUUACUGACUGGGAAGCAAUGCGCAAUAGUGAUAUUUGGGAUGAACCAUUUUCUGAUAAUACAGUGUUACCAUCCUUGAAGUUAAGUCACAAUACUCUGACACCAUAUCUGAGGUUAUGCUUUGCCUAUUGCGGUAUCUUCCAUAAAGGUCACAAUAUAAGUGAAGAUGACCUGAUCUAUCAAUGGAUCACUCUUGGUUUCAUCGAGCCAUCUAAUACCUUUUCAGCCAUGCAACUCGGCGAGAAGUAUGUUAGGCAAUUCCUGGGGAUGUCUUUCCUACAGCAUUCAAAAUUGCACAAGGUGCGUUACUACGACAUACUACAUGUACAAUAUAGAAUAAAGAAUAUUCCUUUUUACUCAAUUAUCAAAUGACAUGCAACAGUUACUGUGCAGAAGCAUACAUACAUCUUAUAUAUUUUGACAGUUUGGUACAUUAAUCCAUGUAUAUGUUUUGCCUUUAGUGGCAAAUAAAGCACUCAAGAUAUUGGUGCACCAGAUUACACUCCCACACUUUCCUCUAAAAAUUGCCCAAGUGUGGGGGAGCAUAUAUGUACCUGCCUCGAGUAAAAAGAGAAGUAACACCUUCAUCCAUCCUGUUGUAGUUUACCCUUGUCAAAAGCCAGCCCAUUUGGAUCACUGCUCAUACAGUUAAUGCAUAGUAUUGUAUUUUGUUUGGCUUAUCAAAUCCAGUCUGUAUUUGGCUGGACAACAAUUUUCCAUAAAAAUAUGUAACAUGUACAAGAUGGAAUUAAUUAAUUAAGAGUCUUGAAUAUGUGUCACUAAAGUGCCCUGGUGCACCUAAAGUUAUGUCAUUCCGUUAGUAAAUCCCUUCCCCCUGCUCUCCCAGAGAUUUUGUAUUUCAGUUCCCGGUUCUCUAAACACGUUUGCAUUUGCACCACUGCCGCUUUCUCCACUUACGGCUGCUGAGUUGAGCGUAUUAUUUUUUCUAAAAUGAUAAUGUCACAUCAUUUGUAUAACCAGUACCAUUCUCUUGACAAUUUUUCUGGAGGAUUUAAGCUAUUUUUUGUUUCAGUCAUUUGCCGAAAGAAUCUUCACCAUGCACGAUCUGGUGCAUGAUCUCGCAAGAUCGGUCAUUACUGAAGAGUUGGUUGUCUUUGAUGCUGAAUUAGAAAGCAAUGCUAGAAGAAAAGAAUACUGCCACUAUGCGUCUCUUACAAAUUGCAAUAUUUCAGAUUACAUCAAGGCAAGGAAGAUGUCAACUAUUUUCCCACCUAAGUUAAGGGCGAUGCAUUUUUCGGAUUGUCAAUUCCAUGGUGGUGCAUUUUCAUUUCCAAAGUGCUUGCAUGUCUUGGAUCUAUCUGGAUGCUCCAUCAAAGAGUUUCCAAGCGCUCUAGGGCAACUGAAGCAAUUGGAGUUUCUUAUUGCUCCGAAGCUGCAAGAUCGACAGUUUCCCGAGAGUAUCACUCGUCUCUCAAAAUUACGUUACCUGAAUCUCAAUGGAUCACGGGAAAUUUCAAGAAUACCAAGCUCGAUUGGCAAACUUGGGAGUCUAGCACAUCUUGACUUAUCUAAUUGUACUAGUAUCAAAGUCAUACCAGAGAUUCUUGGAAGCCUGAAAAACCUGCAAACACUGUACCUCAAAGGGUGUGGAGAACUUAAGUCUCUUCCAGAGAACCUUGGAAACCUCAAAAACCUUCAAACACUCAACCUCUCACGCUGCGCUAAACUAAAGUCCCUUUCAGAGAGCCUUGGAAGCCUGGAAAACCUUCAAAAACUAGACCUCUCAAGCUGCUAUAGACUAGAGUCCCUUCCAGGGAGCCUUAGAAGCCUCAAAAACCUUCAAACACUCAACCUCUCAAACUGCGCUGGACUAAAGUCCAUUUCAGGAAGCCUUGGAAGCCUCAAAAACCUUCAAACACUCAACCUCUCACACUGCACUAAACUAAAGUCCCUUCCAGAGAGCCUUGGAAGCCUGGAAAACCUUCAAAAACUAGACCUCUCAGUCUGCUAUGACCUAGAGUCCCUUCCAGGGAGCCUUGGAAGCCUCAAAAACCUUCAAACACUCAACCUUUCAGGCUGCGCUGGACUAAAGUCCCUUUCAGGGAGCCUUGGAAGUCUCAAAAACCUUCAAACACUCAACCCCUCACACUGCACUGGACUAAAGUCCCUUCGAGAGAGCCUUGGAAGCCUGGAAAACCUUCAAAACCUAGACCUCUCAAGCUGCUAUAGACUAGAGUCCCUUCCAGGGAGCCUUGGAAGCCACAAAAACCUUAAAACACUCAACCUCUCACACUGUACAAACCUAGAGUCCCUUCCGGAUAGCCUUGGAAGCCUAGAAAACCUUCAAAACCUAGACCUCUCACACUGUAGAAACUUAAAGUCCCUUCCAAAGAGCCUUGGAAGCCUCAAAAACCUUAAAACACUCAACCUCUCAUGGUGCUAUAAACUAGAGUCCCUUCCGGAGAGCCUUGGAAGCCUCAAAAUGCUUCAAACACUCAACCUCUCACAUGGCCCUAAACUAAAGUCCCUUCCGGAGAGCCUUGGAAACUUGAUUGAAAACCUGAAAAUCAUUGGUAAGUUAAAUCAUUGAUAAGGUUUGUUAAUGUAUAUACAUUAGUAUGUAAUCCUUAUAAUUAUAUUUGACAGAUUAGCUAGGAUAGUUUCUUUGUAAGUUUGAUCUUGUAAUCUCUUGUACCUGGCAAUCAAGAUUGCCAUAUUAUUAAUACUAGUAUGCAAAUCCGUCGCUACCAGGCACGGCAAAAACCAUUCCAUUUAUUUUGACAUGGUUAUCAGAGCGUGAUCCAACCUUCACGCCAUGACUGGCACUACAGUUGUGGUGGAACCGGGAUAGAGAUAAGUUGCUCUGUCCAAUCUCAUUUCCACCUGCCAUUCCCCGACCAAUAUGACUAAGCUCGUGCUUCUCAUUGAGGAACUGCACUACUGCUUUGUCUGUUGAUCUUGCAAGCAGCAUCCACGUGACCAAGUCCCAUGGUCAAGUGAGUGUAUCAGGGUCCCAUGGUCAAGUGAGUGUAUCAGGGGCCUGCAUCAACAGCGAGCGAGAGAUGCGCUUUUGUCCUUCAAGGCAAGCCUGCUUGACCUUGCUGGGCAUCUCUCGUCAUGCCAGGGUUGUUACCAAUGGAAGGGAGUCUGGUGCAGCAACAUAACAUGCCAUCUCAUCAAGCUCAACCCCCGCAACAGACACAUCGUUUACGCCGACCGGUCCGACUACAGGGAAUACCCGGACAACAACAUGUACUUCAUGGAUGACUACAUCUACGUGGACACGAGAAACUCGUUGAGGUUGUCGACAAGAGAGAUGAGCUCCUCUUUGGCUACUUUACAACACCUGAGGUAUCUUGAUCUGAGCUUGAAUGACUUCAACGGCACAAGCAUCCCUAUGUUCUUGGCUUCUCGCAAAAAAACAGCAGCUUAUUGACUCGUUAUUAUCUUUAAGAUAACUCUAAGCUAAACAAAGUUUAUUUUUUUUGCGAUAACUCCAUUAUUAGAACAGUCAGCAUGACAAGACCAAGACGUGGACUAUAUUUUUUUGUACACCAUACAAUGGGAGUGGUCGGUGUUAGACAAUUGUAUAGGAUACGACGGUAGUUUAAACCGUUUCUAUCUCUUUUCUGAUCUUCCUUAUCUCCUGUAACCUCUUGAUAAGAUCUUGCCUUGUACUCCAAGAUAUUGUGAUAUAAAUACAUUGCGGCCCGAGACAAAGGGUUCUACGCUUCAUCAUAUGGUCAUCAGAGCCCUUCCUCUCGACGCCUAGCUACCGAGAAGAGAAACCGCUCCAUCGAUCGUAGAGAGAGUCGACGAUGACAGGCCCCGCGCUUCCCACCAUUGCAUCCACCCAGAUUACAUCCGCCGCGCCCACAUCCUCCUCCAAUACCUCGCUCUCUCUCGGUCCACCUCCAUCAGAGAAGCUCACCAGGACGAACUUCCUCCUUUGGAAGGCCGUCAUGCUACCCCAGAUCAAGGAAGCACAGAUGGAACACUUCCUCGACGCCGCAAGCCCGGCGCCUCCUCCCACCAUCGCCAUCACCAAGGAUGGGAAGGAAGAGCAGGUCUUCAACUACGCCAGAUCAAUCUGGUACGCACAGCAACAGCAAGUACAAGGAUACCUCAUGGGAUCUCUCUCUCGAGAGGUUCUCGUGCAAGUGGCGAUGCCACAGACGCCGGCCGAGGUAUGGACUUCCAUCCAUGCCAUGUUUGCUGCACAAACACAAGCCCAAAAGAUCAACACAAGGAUGGCCCUCACCAAUGUGCAAAAAGGUAAUCUAACCAUGGCAGAAUACCUUGGAAAGAUCAAAACCCUUACAGAUGAAGUUGCCUGCGCCGGUGCACCGCUCGGAGAUGCCGAGAUCAUCUCUCACGUCAUAGCCGGCCUCGACAUCGACUACAAUCCCGUGAUCUCGGCCUUGGCCGCGCGGGUCGAACCGGUCACGGUUCAGGAGCUCUACAACCAGCUUCUAAGCUUCGACGCCCGUCUCAGUAUGCUGCAAGGAACCAAUCUGCGCCAAUCCUCUGUCAACGCCGCCUCCCGCGGAUGUGGCCGUGGGCGUGGACAGGAAGGGCGCGGAUGCGGAAACGGUGGUGGAGGACGCGCCGGAAACCAGGGCCAGGCUCGCCCUGGUGGUGGUGGUGACCGCGGCGGCGGUGAUCGCGGCGGUGGCUACAACAACGGCUACAACGGCGGCGGCUACAACAACAAUCGCCGACUGAGAUGCCAGCUUUGCAAGAAGCCGGGCCACGAAGUCAUUGACUGCUGGCACCGGUAUGAUGAGGACUACACGCCCGAAACACGGCAAGCUGCUGCCGCCACACGGGAACACGGUGGAGCCGAUGGUGAGACGGUUUGGUACGCCGACUCCGACGCCACAGAUCAUGUCAUGAAUGAGCUAGAGAAGCUGGCCCUCCGGGAGAGGUACCACGACAAUGACCAGAUUCACACCGCAAGUGGUGGAGGUAUGGAUAUUCUUCACAUUGGUCAAUCCUCUAUUAAUUCCCCUAGCCUUAAACGUGAUCUUGUUCUUAAACAUGUUCUUUAUGUUCCACAAGCCGAUAAGAAUCUAGCUUCCAUGUCCCGUUUGACAUCCGACAACAAUUUUCUUUGAAACUCAUCCUACCUAUUUUUUCAUUAAGGAUCGGGCAACGAGGGAACUCAUCCACCGCGGUAGAUGCAUUGGAGGACUAUACCCCCAUCACAUCAAGAGUCUUUAAUCGAAAGCAUCGUCGCCAAGUUUACUCUGCCACCAAGCCGUCGCUAGCCAGAUGGCACCAGAGAUUAGGGCAUCCUUCUUCAAAUAUAGUUAAGCAAGUAGUCAAUAAAGGCAAUCUUGCAUUGUCAAGUAGUUCCAAUACAGAGUCUGUUUGUGAAGCUUGUCAAUGUGCCAAGAGUCACCAACUUCCCUAUCCUUUGUCAAAUAGUGUGUCUCAUGUUCCUUUAGAGCUUAUUUUCAGUGAUGUAUGGAGUCAUGCAACAGAUUCUUUUAGUAGAAAGAAAUAUUUUGUCAGUUUCAUCGAUGAUUAUAGCAAGUUCACAUGGAUCUAUUUGCUUAAAAAAAAUCUGAAGUUUUUUCUGUCUUUCAAGAAUUCCAAACACUUGUUGAGAGACAAUUUGACAAAAAGAUCCUUACAGUCCAAAGUGACUGGGGAGGAGAGUAUGAGAAACUUAACUCCUUUCGUUGCAUUAGCAUUAUUCACCAUGUUUCUUGUCCCCAUGCUCAUCAACAAAAUGGUUCGGCCGAACGAAAACACCGCCAUAUUGUUGAAGUUGGCCUAUCCCUCCUAGUUCACGCAUCCAUGCCACUCAAGUAUUGGGAUGAGGCCUUUAUCACGGCCACAUACCUUAUAAAUCGUUUGCCUAGUCAAGUCACUGGCAACACUACUCCAUUGGAACGUUUGUUUGAUCAAAAACCAGACUACAGUUCUCUCAAAAUCUUUGGGUGUGCAUGUUACCCAAACCUUCGUCCCUAUAAUCAUCAUAAACUCGAGUUUCGGUCCACACAAUGUGUGUUCCUUGGUUAUAGUAAUCUCCAUAAAGGCUACAAGUGUCUACACAUCUCAUCCGGUCGUAUCUAUAUUUCCCGUGAUGUUAUUUUUGAUGAAACCAUGUUUCCCUUUGCUAAACUCCAUACUAAUGCGGGAGCUCUUUUGCGUGCAAAAAUCUCCCUUCUUUCCGAGCCUUUUUCAUCUUCUAAUCACGGGGGUGAAUUAAUUAGGACUAAUCAUGUGAAAAAUAUCAUGGAAUCUGUUGAAACUGAUGUUGAAAAUGCAGCUACAGGGCAUUAUUUCAUGUACCCAGAUGCAGCCAAGACUCGCGCGGAAAUCCAAGCUGAUCCGCUGGCUACUGCAGCUCCUGCAGGCGUGCGAUCCGAGGUUUGACACCCGGCGCAGUCUGCCCGACGCGGAAUCCCAGGAGGAUUCUCCCGCGCCAACCGCCAGCAACCGCGUGGCCGACAACACCCCACGUGCGGGGCUCACCCGCGUUGGCGGAUCCCACGCGCCAAUCGCCAGCUUGGCCCCAGGCGCCCGCGUGGCCGACAGCGGCCCCGUGCGGAGCCCACCCGCGUCGGCGAAUCCCAGGAGGAUCCUCCCGCGCCAACUGACAGCGCCCCACGUGCGGCGUCCACCCACGUCAGUGCCGCCUUCGAUGGGAUCCCAGGCGCGGCGCCCAUUGGCUCCACCAACAGUGGGCCGCCUUCUGGCACUGUUGGCGAGGGGGCCAGCCCGACCGACUCGACUGGAUCCUCUGCCGCUGACUCUUCUGUGGACAGACCUGCAACAACUCCAACUCCUCCUCCUCCUCGUCAUACACGGUCUCGGUCAGGUGUUGUCAAGGAUAAGAAAUAUACAGACGGUACAGUCAGGUAUGACACACAUAAACGUGCUUUCCUCACAAGUACUCGUGAACAAAUAACUUUGCAUGAUGCCAUUGCUCACAAGGAUUGGAAGAAAGCCAUGGAUGUUGAGUAUGAUGCACUGAUUCAAAAUAAAACGUGGCGGUUAGUCUUACCAAAGAAGGGUGCAAAUGUGAUAGAUUGCAAAUGGGUAUAUAAAAUCAAAAAAAGAGCUGAUGGUAGUAUAGACAGAUACAAAGCUAGACUGGUUGCAAAAGGGUUUAAACAAAGGUUUGGUAUUGAUUAUGAGGAUACUUUUAGCCCUGUUAUUAAGUCAGCCACUAUUCGACUUGUACUGUCUAUUGCUAUUUCCAGAGGUUGGAGCCUACGACAGCUAGACGUCCAGAACGCGUUCCUUCAUGGUGUUCUUGAGGAAGAAGUGUUCAUGCGGCAACCACCAGGGUUUGAAAACAAGAACACACCACAUCAUGUCUGCAAAUUGGAUAAGCCUUUGUAUGGGUUGAAACAGGCCCCAAGAGCCUGGUAUUCAAGGUUAAGUACACAGUUACAAAAACUUGGGUUCACACCAUCAAAGGCAGAUACCUCCUUAUUCUUCUACAGUAAGAACAAUGUUACUAUAUUUGUUCUUGUUUAUGUUGAUGAUAUAAUUGUUGCCAGCUCAAGUUCAAAUGCUACAACUUGUCUGCUUAAAGAUUUAAAACUAGAGUUUUCUCUUAAAGAUCUAGGAGAUCUUCACUACUUUCUUGGAAUUGAGGUAAAGAAGGUAAAAGAUGGUAUACUUCUUACACAAGAAAGGUAUACUGCUGAUAUUCUUAAAAGAAUAGGUAUGGAAAAAUGUAAGCCAGUUAGUACACCUAUCUCUACUUCAGAAAAACUCACUGUUGAGAGUGGAGAAGCACUUGGGCCAGAUGAUGCAACAAACUAUAGGAGUAUUGUAGGUGCAUUGCAGUAUUUGAUUCUCACACGACCUGAUAUUUCAUAUUUUGUCAACAAAGUAUGUCAAUACUUACAUGCUCCUACUACUUCUCAUUGGACAGCAGUAAAAAGAAUUUUGAGGUAUCUUAAGUUUAAAGAAGGACUUGGUCUUCAAAUUGUAAAAUCUCCAUCUAUGCUUGUGUCAGCCUACUCUGAUGCAGACUCGGCAGGGUAUGCUAAUGACAGAAGGUCAACAGGUAGCUUUGCUGUAUUUCUGGAAACAAAUCUUGUGUCAUGGAGUGCAAGGAAGCAGGCAACAGUCUCAAGGUCUAGUACUGAGGUUGAAUAUAAGGCUUUAGCAAAUGCAACAGCUGAGGUAAUGUGGAUUCAGACUUUGUUACAUGAACUUGGAAUCAAGGUGCCUCAGGCUGGCAGAUUAUGGUGUGACAAUCUUGGUGCAACCUAUCUUUCAGCUAAUCCUGUUUUUCAUGCAAGAACAAAACAUAUUGAGGUUGAUUUUCACUUUGUCAGAGAAAGAGUAACACGCAAAUUACUUGAUAUAAGAUUCAUUCCAACAGGUGAUCAACUUGCUGAUGGGUUCACCAAACCUCUCACAAUGAGGAGGCUAGAUGAUUUUAAGUACAAUCUCAACCUUGCUAAAUAGGCUUUAGAUUGAGGGGGAGUGUUAGACAAUUGUAUAGGAUACGACGGUAGUUUAAACCGUUUCUAUCUAUUCUCUGAUCUCCCUUAUCUCCUGUAACCUUUUGAUAAGAUCUUGCCUUAUACUUCAAGAUAUUGUGAUAUAAAUACAUUGCGGCCCGAGACAAAGGGUUCUACGCUUCGUCAUAGUCGGUAACUAGCUAAUGGCUAGCAUGACAAAUCCUGAAGAUUUUUACUGAAACUAUCCUUUUGAUCUGUGUUGCUGAUUGCUGAGCACUGAGAGUCACGAUCUCACCGAAUCAUUUAUUGCCAAAGAGAAGGUUGGGAAGGUCCCAACCCGGAUAAUUACACAUGGCCAAAAAACAAAACAAAACAAGAAUGACAGGCUUGCUCUUGACAUCCUGCUGAGCAUAAAAAAGAUCAACAGUAUGGGUGGCAUGAAACCAAAUAUUAGAAUGAUUCGGUGAGAUAGUAGGAAAUGAUGUGUAUCUUUUGUCCGAGACAUAGUGGUUGGUAUUUGAUCUAAGGCCCAACGGGCUGCACAGAAAAGAAAGGAAGAAAAAUAAAAUAAAGAAUAAACAGAAAGUAACGUGAAAAGAGGGGGCCACGUUCCAACGAACGUUUCCCUCGUCACAACAGAAGCACCCUGAUCGGGAGCACCCUAACCAACGUGGUUUUGGUCCCUUGUCGCCGGCGCACAUAAAAGGGUGGGGAGGAGCCGGCACCUGCGUGUGAGAUCAAUUUCACGUAUGGUCUACUACUGCUCCCUACAUCCCUAAAACCCUAACCGAUCUGGAGGAGCGCUGCACGACGAGAAGAUCAUCUCCAAGCUCUGCCCUUGUACCAGGGCAGUGUCGAUGGCUCCCAGAGGGACGCCGCUACCCGCUGCGACCAUCUGCACCGAGCCUGCAUCACACCUGCAUCGAGCAGGCAAGGGACUUCGCAUCGACUACACCAAUGACCUCUUCCAUUGGUGGUAAGAACCCUAAUCUCUCACUCUGGUUGUUCUGUUAGGUGAUCUAAUCUCUAGGCAUUAGAUCCAGUUCCUUAAUCCUGCGGGAUUAAGUCUAACAAUGGUAUCUCGAGCCGUUUUAAGUCUAGAUUAGAUCCAUAAUGAUGGUCUGGUCAUGUUAAUGUCAUUUUUUCAAGUCCAGAUCAUCAUUGUUAAAGGCUGAUGAUUAGUGCUACUAUUGAUUAUUCCACGUUUCUGCGUUAUGUUUUGAUGAUUAGGUUCUAUCUUCGGUUCCUGUUAAAUCAUAUAGAAGGAAGGGAUUCGAAUGUCUCACGAAAUCAUGAAAUUACCCCGAAAUAGGCAGGAUCCGAAACCCUCGAAUAUUCCCCAAAGAUUUUCAAAUGCAAAUCCAAAGCAGAACCAGAUGUACGAAUUUUGGGAUAGAUGGUUUGGGGCUCACCUUGACGACGCCGGCUCUUGGGUCCGCACGGCCGCCGCCGUGCGUGCGCCAUGACCGGAAUGCCGCCGUCUCCCGGAGGACGUGCGGGAAGAUGCAGCUCCUUUUCCCUACUCCGCUCACGGACGCGCGUGCAUCGCUUGGCCUCUCCGCCUCGCACGACGCCGUCAUCUCCAUGGUGCUAGAAAGUGCGUCACCAUAGCCACGCUCGACGGAGGAGCGCGUGGGACGAAGUCCCCUGCACGCUGCUCCGGCCAGCGCAGCCGCCGCGUCGCCAUGACCGGCGUGCUCGCCGUCGUUGCCACGCGGGCGCGACCUUGCCAGCGUUGCUUCACGGGCGCGGCCAGCCGUCGCCCUUAGACGAGCUCGCUCGGGACUGAUGCACUCGAUCGGGGAAAUGGGAUUUGGGGGCUAGGGUUCCCCCUGUCCCGGUUUUCCGUCUGCUG
rnacentral:lncRNA from 1 species